AGGGCCUCAAGCUUGGUGGGGACCUGAGGCAGUUUGUCCUCUUCUCUGCACCAUUGGGGGCCACUCAUGUAAAAGGAUUAGAGGACAGUUGAUGCAGAAGAGCUCUGCCCUGAAGAGGUGUUGUCCGUCAGCAUAGCCACAACAAGGAUAGAUAGAUGAAUAAUAUGACUUGCUAUGAGUAUACUAAAGCUAAAUGGUUUUUAAAAUAAUCUCCAGGAACACCAUUACUGGACUUCACUUUUCCUCAACAGAUAUUGCUAGUGACCUACUUUAAAAAGGACAUUCCUCUCAUCUGAAGGGCUGCCAGAAGCACAAUUUGAGGACCGUCUAGCAAGUCUGAUUUAAAGGAGCCAUAAAUAAAGAGAGCAGGAACCCUGAGGUUAGCAUCACAUGGUCAUCAGACUGAGCAGGCACACAAGUCACCUGGUUUCUUCCCACAAUGGUGAGAGAUAUUGUAUUUCUCUUUAAAUGAUUUCUAAAUUUCAUAGAAUCACAGAAUUGUCAAGUUGGAAGGGACCCCAAGGGUCAUUCAGUCCAAUCCCCUGCAAGGCAGGAAUCUCAACUAAAGCAUCCGUGAGAGGUGACCACCCAAUCUUUGCUUAAAAACCUCAAUGAAUGUGAGCCCGCCACCUUCCAAGGGAGCCCAUUUCAAUGCCGAACAGCUCUUACCAUCAGAAAGUUCUUCCUGAUGUUUAGUCAGAACCUCCUUUUUGUAACUUGAAUCCUCUAAGUCUUCUCCAGACUAAAACCUACCCAACUCCCUCAACCAUUCCUCAUCUUGGUUGCCCUCCUCUGCAAAUGUUCAAACUUGUCAAUAUCCUUCUUAAAUUGUGGUGCCCAGAACUGGACACAGUGCUCCAGGCGUGGUCUGACCAAGGCAGGAUAGAGUGGGACUAUGACUUCCCUUGAUCAAGACACUAUCCUUCUCUUUAUGCAGCCUAGAAUAGCAUUAGCUUAUUUGGCAGUAGCUGCACAAUAUUGUGUUGCAUUGUGGUGUUGAAAUGUUGUAACCUGCCCUGGGAUCAUCGAGUGAAGGGCAGACUAACAACAACAACAACAACAACAACAACAUGUAAGUUUUAUGCAAAUUGGUAUCCCCUUUUGUCCUAUUUUUUGGUGAUGCAUUUUGGCCGGUAGAUCAUAUAAGUAGACAUUCUGCCCUAUUCCCUGGCAUCUGUGACUUUUGUGUGUGUGGUGGGAGCCUGAUAAAGGAGCCGUUGAUUAUUUUUGCAUGUUGCACUCAAGGAAAUGCCACUGGGAGACUUUUGCAGUAGUUUUGAACCAAAGUUCAUUCUUGGUUAUGGGCCAGAUAGGCAGAACAUAUCCAAAGUCAAGGUGAAGAGCAGCUACCUUGGGUAUUUUUAGAACACCUCCCCCACCAGUAGUUCAGAACCCACUACUUGAAAACUUACUAUUUAGAUUUAAGAUUAUUUUAUGGAGAAUUGUGUGUGGAUAUAGAAUCACAGAAUCAUAGAACUGUAGAGUUGUAAGGGACCCUGAGGAUCAUCUAGUCCAACUCCCUGCAAUGCAGAAAUAUGCAGCUGCCCCAUAUGAGGAUCGAACCUGCAACCUUGGCGUUAUCAGCACCAACUGAGCUAUAAUUGUCUAAAGCUCCUUGCUUGGAAGUAGGUCCUGUUGAAGUCUUAUUACAUGGUUAUGGUUAGUAAGUCCAGAAUUCUAUAACAGAAAUUAUAUGUUCCAGUUUUGAAGUAUCUGAACAGCUGUUUUUUGGUGUUUCUUUCUGUUUUUUAAACAAGGUGACGAAAUUUAUUUUUGCUGGGACUAGCACUGGCAGUUUUAAUAUCUUGGAGAUUCUUUGUGAUCUUGAUAAAUGCUUAUUAGUCAUACUAUAUAAUACAUAAACAGGCGAAGUCACAUUUGAAUUGUAAGUACUUUGUUUCCCCAGCAACACCACAGUGAAUGCAUUUUUGGCCUGAAGAUGAAAAAUGGCCUCUUCAAGAGCAAAAAACCUUCCAGCCUUGAAACCGCCUCCCACCAACAGACUAAAACUGAUCUAUCUAUGUGACUCAUUCCGAGGGAUUCUUUGAUAGGGGCAUAAACAUAUCCUGGAAGCCAACCUUUCUGCUGGGACUUUAGUUAAUAUCCCUCCAAAUUAUAGUUUGAAUCUUUAAUAAGUGUAGUUGAUGGUGGCUUUAAUUUUAUGCCUUAUUUGAAUAAUGAUACUUUUAGCUUCUGAGGCUCUAUAUCAUUUUGGAUAUUGGCUUACUAAUGACUUUGAAAGACACAAGCCGGUGUUUGGGUGAGUUUUAUUGUAUAUAAAAACUCAAUUUUUAUAGGACUUGUUCAGUCCUGUCUUUGUCAGUUUAUGGAAGACAACAAGACUUCAAGCUGAAAUGCAAAAUAGAAAUCCAUUAUUAGAAUUUAAAUCAUCCUUUGUGACAUUAAAUGUAAAAUAAAGUCUCAUCAGGAGCACAUGCCAAAGUAAUAUUAGUUUGACUUGCUGACAUAUGUCUGAAAUCUGUCCUCUGAAAAAUAAAUUGCUUCUUAUAGAAAAUACAAAAUCAGCAUAUAAAAAAGAGCCAAGUAAAAAUCUAUGAAGCUUGAGCUCAAACUGGAGUGAAUAUUCAUGCUCCACUAAAUUGCCACACCAUUUAAAUGCCUGGCUCCCCCUCCCCUUGUGAAUUUCUUUACAGGAUUUUUGAAAAGAAGGUCUACUUCUGAUGCUGUUUUUAAAUAUAUCAAUGCACAGAUUUACAGCUUACAGUACAGGCCUAUGCAGGGCACCCGAGAAGUAAGCCCUAUUAAAAAUAGUGAAACAUACUCCUAGGCAAGAGAGUAUAGGGUUGCAGCCUCCAGAUAAGACUAAGGCUACAAUCCCAACCCAAUUUACCUGGGAGUAAGCCCUGUUGAAUUCAAUAGGACUUACUUCUGAGCAGAAUGUUUAGAAUUGCAACCUGAUAUUAAAAUCUAUUUUCUCCAUAAAAUAACAUGUUUAGCAAAAUGGCAGAAGCUGUGUGAGAGGGAGAAAGAAAGCUUCAUGUCCUUAUUUCUCUUAUAUUAUAUUUGUACAGAUCUUGAUAUAUGAAUUUAUGAACAUAGUUCUAUGUUUGCCUUUAAAAUUCAUUAACAUGAAUAAAUAAAUAUACAAACAAACAAACAAGGAGCAGAAGUCUAGAAGUGCAUUGGUUACCAUAACAACACCUUACUGUACAUUUUAUUUUCACAAUGCUCAGAGUUGGUCCAGAAAGAUUAUCCAUGUGAUCUAUUCUAUUUGUUAUUUUACAAUAUUUUUCAUUCUUUGUUUUUAUGUGCAAUGUCUCUUUUUUCAAGUUACAUUUUCUACAAAUCAGUUUCAUUUGUUGAGACAUUAGGAAGAAAAGGGGGCAAGAGGUGGAGGGGGGAAUGGUGAGUGGGGUGGGGUUGGGUGGCAAUGCUUCUGUUCUACUUAUGUGUGGGGUUUUGUGUCAGCGUCACUUGUGUGGGUUCUCUUUACUAUUCGAUUUUAUUCCUUUGGUGGUGAGUGAGGUUGGGGUGGUCUAGGGUCCGGUUGGUUGUUUUUGAUUGGCUGUAGUGAAAUUUGUUUUUGUGUGUGAGUGGGGUGUGUGUGUGUUUUGGGAUCAGGUUCACCAGAUUGAUUGGAAUGCUGUUGGCAGAUUCUUGUCGUUGUCUUGUUGGGCUGUGUAUGUGAUAAAAGAGAGCCAUACCGGGGUGAAGGCAUCUUCUUCUAUUUGUCCCCAUGUCAGUUUCAGUUUAUUGGUUAGUUUUUCUAAUAAGGCUGUUUCCCAUACUAUUUGAUACCAUGCUUACUCUGUCCUGACAGGUCUUUCCAGUGUCUGGCUAUGAUGUUUCUGGCUGUUGAAAGUAGAUGGUUUCAUACUUUUUUUUUUAAAAAAAAGAAAAUCACCGUCAGAAAUUCCGAGGCAGUGUAUAAGAGAACAAUUCACACAGCAUAAUAUAAUUUAAAUAAACAGUAAUAAUAAUCAAGCCCCAAAGCAUAAAACUAAAGUACUAAGGCAGUUCUAAAAUUCCAUCUAAAAUGCCUGAGAGCAAAUUGGGGAGUUUUAAGAUGGUGCAAAAAUAAUUGUAAUAUUAGCACCAGAUACGUCUUCUUAUGGAGAACAUUCAAAAUUCAGGGUGCCACUACAAAGACUACCCCUUUCCUUCGAAACUCCAUAAUAUGCUUAAAGAAGGUGCAUGGAAGAAGGGUCUCUACAGAAAAUCUUAAAACACAGGUAGAUUAAUAUGGGAAAAGGUGCUCCCUCAGUUAUCUGGGUUCCAGUCUAUUUAAGGCUUUAACUUAAGUGGUUUAGAUUGGGCCCAGAAGCAAAAGAGUGGUCAACACAAUUCUUUCAAAAUAAGUGUGAUGUACCAUGCUUGGCUGUACCAGCUUGGAUUCUGUGCUAACGUAUCCCCCUGGGUCAUCUUUAAGGCAGCCCCAUGUUUAACACAUGAGGAAGCUACCUUAUAUUGAGUCAGACCAUUGGUCUGUCCAGCUUAGUUUUGCCUACAUUGACUUGCAGUAGCUCUCCAGAGAUACAGAUACAGCUUGCUGGCAGCAAUUUCCCUUACCAUGGCAGAACAUUUUAAAGGGUCCAUGACUGAGAAUUGUAUUAUCAGCUAUAUCCAUACUUGGCUUGGCAACAUGAAAAUGCAUCCAUGGGUGUGGUAAGAGUACAGCACAUGAGGGGAUACAUGUUUGCAUUUGGCCUCAUUGAUCUUCUGCAUACUUUUGGAAGACACCUAAUUACUUUAUUUUUCAUCUGCCAAGAAACUGUAAAAUCUAAUUAGGCCUAUCUAAAUGAAGCCUGUCUAAACUGGAGAACAUUGUUUUGUGACAGAUGAAUUCUUCUAUAUUUACCUGUGGAUAGUAUGUUUGUUAUGAUUAUAUCUAGAUGGCCACAAUAUUUUGUUACUUUACUAAUAUGUUAGUUGGUUGUAUGUAUUGAGUGAGGACGCACAUUCCUCUCUGGGAAGAUACCUCUGGGAAUGUACCUCUCAUUGUUAUGUUUUUUUCUGGAUUCUUCUGGACCUUCCUUCCCACUCUGGAAAAUCUGUUAUGCCAUUUGAAGUAAUAAUUUGCCAUUCUCCUACCUUUCCUAAGAAACUGUACCAUCUUACCUGCCUGAGGUAAUUCUUUAAAUGCUGGUAAUCUUUGUAUGCUCAAUAAGUCCUACAGUGAACGCUCCAUCUAAUUAAGAAUCUCUUGUUUUGAAAAAAAACAAACAAACCCUGUUGCUCAUUUGUACUAAAAUAAAAAAGUGUUGAUAAAUCCUUUACCACUAUCUCUAAAGUUCUGCACAUUUUUCUUUCCUUGUUCUCCACGCUGCAUUUGUAUCCUUUCUUCUAACCUCAUGCCUUCAAAAUAUGCUGUCCUUUAUAAGGCUCACUAAGGAAAACCCUCCUCGCUCAGGAUACAGCCAUGUUUUGACAUCGGGCAGGUUAAUUGGUGGGGGGUUUUAUUCAUUUCUUUAUUAUACCUGCACUAUGGUUGUCUGAACAAAGUCAGCAAUUUUAUACAAAAGCAAAUUCCUCUUCUUUGAUAGUCUUUUAACCCCCUUGAAAUGUGGAUGGGAAGAGAAUAAUGAAAUUCUGAAGAGUUUUGGUGUGUUAGGCUUGAUUUUUUAAUAUAUUUCAUACACAUACAUGUUUGUUUGAAGCAAAGAAUCCUUGAUCUCACUUAAUCUGUUCCCUCUAAUCGAAUUCUCUCCUUCAUUAUCCAUGACCGCAACAAAACACAAACCUUGACCUUUUCAAAACGGAAUGUCCUUGUAUGCUUUAGACACCAGUCACAUUUAGUCAUCAUUAAAUCAUGACUGGAUAUCGACACUAGCCCAGCAUAGCAAAAUACAAUAUGAAAGCCAUUCCGUUAUUCAAAGUUAAUUUUAAUGUUUUCUUUAUCUGUGUGAGUGCUGACAAAAUUUACCCAACAGACCCUCUGUGUAUCUAUAGACAUGGAUUUCUCCCCUCUGCCCAUGGAAGCUAUAGCAGAGUUCAGAAAGAUCAAUACUCAUAAUAUAAACCUAUGUGAACACUCUUGUUCUUUAACAUCUUCAGAGAAGACCUCAGAGUCUUUUUCAUAUGGUUGUUAAAAUAUACAGGAUAACAGAUUUUGAGCAGAGAAAACAUAGGGUUAUACCAUUACUUCCACAUGUGUGUGUAUAUUGGUGAAUGUUGGCAUUUAGUGAUAAAUCUUAACAUAUUAUAUUUACAAUAUUCUAACACACACAACAUGUAUGUUAGAACAUUUCUCUAACGCACAAACACAAACACAGAGAUCUCAUUUUGGGGUUAUGAAAUGGUAAAGGGAACUGGACAUGUCACAUGAGUCUCAUUUUUGGCUUUGUUUUGAUACCAAAACUACCUUGGUGUAAGUGAAUAACUUUUGACAAUGCACUACGGUCACCACAAUGUUUAGCAACAGUGGUAACUGGUCUAUAAACAGUCAUUCAGGAAUGACCACAAGUUUUGUUAUUUGUAACAAUGCAGUCGUACCAAGUGGUCACUUACUAUGUACUUGCAAGAAAUAGCUCUAAACCAUUUCAAGGAGCAUUUGGCUUUGCUCUCUAGAUCAAAAUGAACACUUCACAAAGUACAGCCUGAGUGCCCAGGAAAAAGUAGAACAAAACACAAUGAAAUACAAAAGUAGCGAGAGGUCAGAAUGGUUGGACCUUAUUUACAACAGACCCUUUAGCUCCUGGCAAAGGUUUUGUCAGAAUUUAAGGAGUUACUACAGGAAGAGUUACCUAUAAAAUAACAGGAAAGGCAAUUCAGAAAUUGCUAUGACACAAUGUUGGCUGGGUUUGAACAGAACAACCAAGCUCUCCUGUGUAACAUGUGACCUGAAUUGCCAAAUAAUUGGCAUGUGAACCAUCUAAAAUUAUCAGUAUUUUAUGGACACUCUGCUUCAUUGGCUGUAUAUGUGCACCAAGGGGAUAUCACUGAACUUGAAAAGAGAGUAAGUAAGGAGGCCAUUGCCAGGAAUAAACCACUUUUCUGUCUCUUAUCUGUGAAACAAAAAUUACAGUGUGUGUCACAAUGCGUUGACUUUUUUUCUUUUUUUCCUAUAAUAAGCAAGGAGCAAAAACUUUUCUUUUACAACACUUCUGAAAUGAUAGACUAAUUAAGCAAGAAUUUACUGUUUGUCAACAAUGUUUCAAAAGGCAUUGUAUACUUCAGGCUUCCUCAAACUCAGCCCUCCAGAUGUUUUGAGACUACAAUUUCCAUCAUCCCUGACCACUGGUCCUGCUAGCUAGGGAUCAUGGGAGUUGUAGGCCAAAAACAUCUGGAGGGCCGAGGUUGAGGAAACCUGGUAUGCUUGGACUUUCUAAAUGGCAUUGAUAAAGUGCAGAGUGCAUAUGCAGGCCUCCAUAUGCAUGGGCACUUGUGUCAAGUACUCCCUGACUGCAUGGUGUACACCAAAGAUUCCACUGGAUGGUAACUGAGUCCUUUCUCUCUCCUGGGCUCUUGCAUCUCUUCUCAUUCUUUGCUUAUGAAAAGACAAUCAUGUAAGGCACAUCACCUUCCUCUUCUCAAAAGUUCUUUAUGAACUUCUGACAUGGGGAACCUCCUGUGAGAGCCAGUGUGGUGUAGUGGUUAAGAGCGGUAGUCUCGUAAUCUGGUGAAUCGGGUUCGUGUCUCUGCUCCUCCACAUGCAGCUGCUGGGUGACCUUGGGCUAGUCACACUUCUUUGAAGUCUCUCAGCCCCACUCACCUCACAGAGUGUUUGUUGUGGGGGAGGAAGGGAAAGGAGAAUGUUAGCCGCUUUGAGACUCCUUAAGGGGAGUGAAAGGCGGGAUAUCAAAUCCAAACUACUCUUCUUCUUCUUCUUCUUCUUCUUCUUCUUCUUCUUCUGUACUCAUGGAAGUUCUCCACAUGAUUCAGAACCUGGAUCUUCCAGGAUUCUAAUGAUCACAUAGGGAGUCUCCAUGUGUACAAGAGGCUCCCUGAUCCAGCGGUUCAUCCCUCAAGUCAUGGAGGGUGAUGGAGACAGCAAUGGGAGGGUAGAAUUUAGCCUACUCUUACCUAUUCUUGUAUCGGUUCUACAAGUGAGUAGAAGGCCUGAAGGCCUGAAGGCAGCUAGAGUUUGCAUUCUGUAACCAUUUAUCAAUCAUUUGGUCCAAGUCUACCUGACUCAAGAGGAUCCUGUGGUUUUUGGAUUCAAUCCAAAAUGUCCAUCUUGUGACUGUAGUCUUACUGAGAUAGUCAGCUACAUCACUUAAGCAGUAACAUUCCACAUAUUUGUGAGAAUCAUACAUACAUUUUUGAGGCAAAUAGCUUCCAUUCAAUUUGUUCAACUGCUCUCACAAAAAUAAAAGAGCAUUAUUUGGCAGCUAUAACCCUGAUUUGCUUUGAAGCUACAAUUGUUUACCUGAGGAAAAUGCUUGUUAGAAUGUUUAUGCCUUGUUGAAAGGUGACAUAUGGCCAGAUUUUAAAACGGAAAUAUGUGCUUUGCCAAGAAAGGUGACUUUUUACUGUAGAUCCAGUUCAUUAAUUUUCAUACAAAUUGGGUGGGGGUAAUCAGGUUUUGCUAUGCUGUGCUGUUUUGGGGUAAAGCAGAGGAGGCAAGGCCUGACUAAAAUGCCACUAAUGAGGUGAUUCUGCCGGAAAAGAUUUUACUUUAUAAAAUGACACAGUGAAUUUCUGGAAUGCUGCCCAUUUGUUAGCUUUCAGUUACUUUUCAACACUUUUGUUGCAUUUGUUAACAAAAGAAAGUGGUAAAUCUCACAAACGUGGUUUCUCUUUUUGUUAGUGAGCAGAACUCAAAUCACAAGUCAUGCACAUCAUUUUUCAGCAGUCUCCAGAGACACUCCCUCUAUUCUCUAGCUUAACCAGGCUAGAUGCCUUGUGUUCACACCUGGGGCCUCACUUAACAGCAUCAAACUCACUGUGUUUGUGUGUUACUUGCCUUCUCUUUUAAUGUGUGCUUUAUCUCAUUUGAGUGAUUUAAAUGGAGGCAUUUGCAUCGGAUGUACCUGUCAAUUAAGCAAAGGUUCUCUGAUGGUGAAAUGCUAAUUAUAUUGAUUAUUUUGUGGGACCAUGUUGGACAUGGAGAUAGACAUACAGUGGUACCUCGGGUUAAGAACUUAAUUCAUUCUGGAGGUCCGUUCUUAACCUGAAACUGUUCUUAAUCUGAGGUACCACUUUAUCUAAUGGGGGGUCCUGCUGUCGCCGCGCUUUACUUCAUCCUGAAGUAAAGUUCUUAACCCGAGAUACUAUUUCUGGGUUAGCGGAGUCUGUAACCUGAAGCAUCUGUAACCUGAAGCAUCUGUAAGCACACUGGAAUGGGAUUUUAUUUUUGGCUCCUUUCUAAUUGCUUUAUUUCUUUGCAGAUUUUAAACCCAUGCAAUUAUAACCCAGGAUUUACCAUCACUUCUGUUCACAAAGUAAAGGUUUGUCCAACAUCCACUUCAAACACCCAAAUCCUACCCACCUCUGUCCAGAUAGAUAAGUGGUGGAGUCAUCUCCUAAAUAGAUAACUGAGCAUCUCCUAAAUGCUCACCUUUAAUUUAUAGAAAUGUAUGUGGAUAAUGUUAAGCUAAAAAUAACCAUCAAUUUCAGGUAAAGCUCAUAAAUUCAUAGUUCACACAAAAGACAUUACUUGCCUGAAAGAGACAAACAUGGUGAAAGGGGUUGUGGGAUUAUGUAUUUAGUUCUGCCGCAAGGUUGUAUGGUUCCUACAACCCCCAUUUUGAAACAGGAAGCAUCUUAGAGGCAGUUUAGAGACAUAGCUGAUCAAGGCUCUAAAUCACACAGAGAGUGAUUUAGAAAAGAUUCCCCACUUCAGAGGUUAUGCCCCAAAACAGUGAUGUCCAGAAGAGCCACAUUUUGGCAGGGAGGGAGGCUAAGCAAAUGGGGGUAAUAGUCAACUAAUUUUUACUCAGAGUAAAGCUACUGAAAUGAGUGGGUGAAACUUAGUCAUCUUGAUUAAUUUCAAUGGGUCUAUUCAGAGUAAAAGAUAGUUGAAUUUCACCAUACUUGCCACCUUCAUGGGUGUAAUGUCUAAAUAAGUCUUCUACACCUAUGGAAACAGGUAAGCUACACACAGAAACAAACUAUCCCAUUCUAGCAGGCAGAAACCUACAAAAGAGGAAUCACUGAGAAGUGAUACAAAGGCAGCACAGUCCACAAACACACCACCCAAUGAGCAGGAAGAUGUUCUUUAAGAGGCCAGGCACUGAUGCAAGUAGGAAUCAGAGAACGUGUGAGCACCAAAGACCGUUCCCACACAACAGGCUGCGUCUUUGAAUGCAGGAGCAAGUCAACUUCAAACUUGUGAGGUCUCCUUUGUUCUUUACAAGAACCCCAAUAUAUAGAACAAGAAAGUUUCUGAGUAUAUUCUGAGACUGGCAAUUUGUUUUCAGUACCAGAAUUGAGCUGAGCUCACAGUCCAGUCACACAAAAGUCCACUUCUGGUUAGCUUUCUUAAUUUUAGUUAGCUGGUUUAGAUGAGAGAAGUCAUUUUGCUGUUGAAUUCAGGGCAGAAACUCUCACCUAUCUACUGCAAAUCAUCCAGGGAUCGACCAGUAGACCCCUUCUGUCCACUCCUGCAGUCCAGACUUAGCCCUUGUUCCUCCAUACCAGCCCAGCAGUGCCAGAUUUAUGUAUAGGCUAAGUAGGCUGAAGCCUAGGGCCUCUUAAUCUAGGGGAGCCUCGCCAGCCUGCCUGCUCCCCAGCCAGCAACCUCCCGUCUCCCAAAAUUGCAAACCCAAGACUUCAUGCAAGGCCACGGCAACUUGGGUCUCUAAAUCUAGGGGGCCUCACCAGCCUGCCCUCUCCCCAGUGCCACAGUCUCCACCCUCUCAAAAUUGCAAACCCAAGGCUUCAUGCAAGGGCAGGGCAACUCAGACUCAGCAACUAUGAGACUCAGGGCUAGCCAGUGGGACCCAAUUUGAAGAUGUGGGGCCCAAAUUUAGGGUGUUUUUUUUUGUAGGGCCCCAGUUCACAGCCAAAGUCUGCAAAAUCUUAUAGAUAUAAAUAAAAUCCAUCUAGAUUGCCCUGGUGCAAGGGCCCCCUUCAGAGCAGCCUGCGGGGCCCAGUUUGGCCAAAUUGCUCCAAUUGCCUUAAGGUCAGCCCUGAUGAGACUGUGCGGGGGUUGGACUGACAAGCCCUGCACUUCUAGGUCCCUGGUGUCACUAUUCAGAGUACAGACUCAAGGACUUGUUAUGGAAAUAAAGGGGGCACUUAUUGGAAAUCAGUUUUGUCACCUGUUGCCCCCCCCCCCGGACGAUGAGCCCAGCCACCUUUUAUUCACAGUCACAUGAGCACUGCACUACAGCAUGGCCAUAAACCUGUACGUUCAACUGCUGAAAUACGCACCCAAUAUGUAGCAAUGGAGUUUUAUGUUACUGCUUUAUGAAUGAAGACUGUUUUAUUAAUGGACUCUGUAUUUUUGGAAUUACCUAAGAACCACCAAUAGGGAGCUCUAGAAACUGACAGCUAACCAAUCAGGUACUACCAAACAACAACCCCUAUUGCUGAAAGCAGGUAACCAGCAGGAGCUUCAGCUCAGCCUUUGCACUACUGACUGAACACCCGCUGCUGUGCAGAUAAUGGAGAAAGCUCAUAAAUUGUAUCCCUUCUGGCGUCCUGGCCAACUCUAUUAUGCACCAGGAGCCCAGAAUAGCAGCAAAUAUAUUCCGCAUAUACGUCAGCGACUGAUAAGACUUGUCAUCCAGUUCUUCCGAAGUCUUCCUAAAUUAUAAAGCUCCAAAAUACAGGUCAAAAGAGAGCAGGUCUGGGAAGAGUGAGGCAUACAAUGGGCACCACCAGUGAAAAGGCACUGCUCCGUGUAGCUCCUGCCCUGUCAUUUGACAGGCUGCCCACUUGCCCUCCUUCUUGACAUGGAAUGCUCUCUGUUGGAGUCUCCAGGUCUAAUCUAGAAACCAUAAGAAGGGAGAGCAGGGACCUUGAAGUUCCCAACAGCUGUUAAUCAAGCAAGCAAGCAUACAGGUCACCUUUGUCACAGGACACCUAUGUCCUGGCCAGGCCUGCACCCAAUCUUGUUUUUGUACAAUCUUGUUUGUUCUCAGUAACCAAAAUUAUAUUAUCAAUAUAUACAAGCAGAAAAGUUGUUUUCCUUCAUUUGCAAGGCAUCAUACAAAACAAAGUGGUACUAAUAAAGAAAAGUUCCAGGGUGGCAACAGAAAGCAAACUAAAAAUGCUUUUGCAGUUCAUCAGAACUAUCCAGCAAUAUCAAGUUACAGGAAAACUGGUGCUGUUAACAGUAACCCUUCUAGUUGGUUAAUUGAUUUGGCAACGUCCAUGCACAUGACGUCUGAUGCUAAUUCCCCCCCCCAAGAGUUAAAUGAUAACUCAUCAGAGGCAGCUAUAGUUUCAACUGGAAACAAAAUAUCUGUGAAAGGAAGAGAAGCAGGUGUGCUCAAGUGUGUUGCAGGUAGUAAUAUUAUGGCUGCAGACCAAAUCAUCUGUCAGGAGAGCUUUGAGAUUCAGGUGAGGGUCAUAUGCCUUGUCAAUCCCAGCAGGUAUAUAACAGGAAGACCAGCCUGCCCAUACCUUAUUUUAAGAAUAACAUUACAACUUAAUUUUCCUAAGAAAUAAUGCUUAUUCCACAAAAUGUUGGAAUCAGUGCCCGGGUCACUGCUUAAAUUUAGGGAUAUAACACAAAAUAUUUUUUAACUGCUGGUAAAAAUAAGCUUUUUAUGGUACUGUAUUUCAAAAUAUUCAUUAUUUCUAUGGGCUGAAAAAUCUACAAAAGUACUAGAAAUAUUGAAUUACCACUCUAGUUUGAAGUGCAUAUCGCACUGGCCUUCUUGCAUAUUUAAAGACGAAAAUCUAAAAAGGCACAUAUGAAUGUAGAGAAAAUGCUGUUUUCAUAAGUAUGUGAACCAAACAGUCCCAUAUUAAAGAAAUAACCAUGAUGUCAAGGCUGCCUCAAGUCUCAGCUCACAAAAGACCAACGCCUAUGUCUUCUUAUAUACAAAGGUGUUUAUUGCAGUUCAUGGUUUGCUUGACAUCCUAGGCGCGCAGCCUUACGUCUCUUACGCUAGACCGCUGAAGUCCCCUCUGAGUCAGUCCCUCCCUGCACCAAUUUAAGAGACUUGCGCUGCUCCACCUCUUUCUCUCCUUCCUUUUCCGCAGGGUCCUUCUGCCCGCUGGGGUUGCGCCCCUUCUGGAUUCCUCUGACGCUGAAUCCCCAGACUGCUCUUCCCCUCCUGCGGGCUUUGGGACCUGGCCCCUCCUCCGGGCUCCCUGUACUUCCGCGCGCCUCUACAUUUGAACUAGGCGCGCGCGCCAAACCUCUAACUUUCCUUUUGACAGUUACACUACUCCCUUCACUGCUCCCCUCCCUUCCGGAAGGGCGGCUUGCUCUGACCUCCCUCCUUUCUCUGCUCCUGGAGCUGCUUCCUCUGACACACUGGAAACUCCACCCCCUUCGCUGCACUCUGGUGGGGAGGCUGGUCCUGACGCCCAGCUGCCACUUUGGGAUCCUCCGCUGGCCCCCUGCUCCUGACACGUCCCUCCUGGGGCUCCCUGGCCUUAACCACCGGCGCCCCCUUCUGGGAAUCCUCUGAUUCGCUGGAAAGACUCAUGGAAUCUCUUGAGUCAUUGUCAUCCUCUUCCUCGCUGGCUUGGAAUUCCUCCCCAUCGCUCUCCAUCUCCUGCCUACCCUGUCCCUCUCUCCCUGAACCCCUGACACAUGAUAACUUUUCUGUAAAACUACUUUCCAUGAAUUAAUAUAGUGAAGAAAGUGAGUCUCCAAAGGCCUGAUUCCCGGCAUCUAGAACUUAAGUGCACUUUGUCUUCCUUUGUAAUUAUUUCUGAGAUGUAAAGUGUUCUGUAUUCUGAUAGCCACAGGGAAAACAAGAUGAAAAUGACCUUUAAACAAACAACCCUUGUGUAGUUUUCAUAUCAGUUUUCAAUAAUGCAUCUCCUUUUUGAAUAAGUGUUUAAAGAUUCUUUCCCAUACAUGAUUGAAGAAAGUCAAUAAUAUGUUUUCUGGUGGGAGGGGUGUUAAGCAACAUUUUAAAAGGUAUUUCUUGACAAGUUCUAAAUGUAUUUGGAGUAUAUAAUCUGAAGUGCCAUAGCAAUAAGACCAAAGUGAAUUAAACCAAAAUAUUUUUUUAAAAAAAUUAAUAGGAAUAGUUUAGAUUAAAACAUAGUGACAAGACUGCAUUUUUCUUUCCCACAAGUGACCUCAACAUUACUCAAAAGCAGCUCCCACCAAGAUUGCCAUUAUGUGUUCUGUUAUUCAGACUGAAAGUUUGCUUUGAAUUUGUGCUGAUCAAAAACAAACACGCAUUUUGCACAAUCUUUUAUUUAUGAACAAUGGUGAUUUUUAUGAACAAUGGUGAUUUAUGGUGUUAUAAUCCCAGUUCAAAAACUCACUUAAACAAAUGCUAGAGAGCUUUCUUCAAUAGUAUCUUCAGUGAACAAAUUCUUUAGGGGCAGAAAUGGCUUUGAGAAGGUAGAUAAUCUGAUUUAUUUUAACUUAAUCUGUCUGAGGGAUAUUCACUUAUAUGCGGCCAGAUUGUCUUCAUUUUAAAAAAAGCUAUUUGUAACACAAAAGGGGGGAAAUCAAGUCUGAUUCAGAAAUGGUAUCACAUUUUUCUUUUCAAUUAAUGGCUGAAACAUCAGUUCAGUGGUCUGCAUGCUCAAUAGCUUCUCAUUGCCAGCCUGGAUAGAUGAAGUUCCACAAAUUCAUGGGGUUAGAUUGAUGUAAUGGCUAGAGUACAUCAUUUGGAUGUUGGCAUACUUGUUCACAUUCCCCAGUCACUUAUGAAGUUUAUCAGGUAGCCAUCUGUAAUGCAUUAUUCCUCAGCUUGACAGGAUGGCUAUGGGCACUUUGGGGAAAGGAAGGAAGUAUAACUAGUAUUGCCUGUUGUUUCAUAUACCUAGCAAUGAACAAGCCUCAUCUACAUGGCCAACGAAUAACACAAUUACAUGGCAAUGUAAAUAUGGGGCCCCUUAAUAUUGCAAGUACAUACUUCAUUGCAGAGCAAUAAUUAUAUCUACAUAAUAUAUCUAACCUUUGAACAUAUAUGCAAGCAUAAGACGGGAUGUGCAGGGAAAACAGUUCCUUUACUUUCAGUUCAAUAAUAAAUUGGUGAGCUCUGGUAGCAUCUAAAAUAAGAAAGACACAUUAUUUACCUGACUGCUGUUGUCUCAUUUUGGGCAAAUUUCUGGUAAAUCCCCAGUUCAUCAGCCCUCACUGAAAGAUGCACAGAUAUAAGGGUAAGAUGCAUUAAUUCCAAAUAAUGUCUGAUUAUAAUUUGAGCUUUUACCUGAAGAGGGGGAAGAACACAGGUUUUCCUUAUUUUGAAAAAGAUUUAUGGAGUUUGCAGAGACUCUUUUACUGCCUUUAUUCCACCUGGAACAAAAAUAGUGAAACAUAUUGAGUGUACCCGUACACACAAGCUUCCAAAUAGUCUCACAUGACAAUGCUUACACUUGAACAUAUUAUAAUGGCACCUGACCUCUUCUUUUGCCUCUAGCACAUUCAGUCAAUCUUUCCUUUCCUUGCUGUGACUAAAUGAGUGUCAUGGUAAUAAGCUGUCAGCAAGUACCUGUUGCCUGCAUUUGGCUUUCUAAAUUCAGUUUCCUGGCCUAGGUUCCCAAUCUUACAGUCCAGUCACUGAGGACAAGCAGUUGCAUUUAACACCUGUAGGACUUUGAUUGACAUUUGGGCGCUGGCAGUUUGUGAGCAUCGUCUUUGUUGUUAAAGAGGGUCAAGAAAGGCAAAAAGCAAAUUCACUUACUAUGCGGCUCAUGGGCUUACAAGGUUUUCCCCCCUUUUGCUUUGCUAGUUAUGCCUUGAAGCUGCCUACUCUUCAACUAUUUGGCUUGCAAAAUCUGCAAGCACCUCUUUCAAUGUGUCUUCAGUGGAAGGUCUUUGAAGCCUGUGAACCAGCUUGUGAAUGUGCAGCUAUCUGCACAGGCAGGUGCAAUAGAACAUCUAUCUUUAAAUAACCACCUGAAGGCUUAAGAACACUUUCCACCAAACACACUUAGCUAAAAUAACCUUUGCUCAAACACACAUGUCUUUGUAAGAUAAAAUGCUUUCUCCACACAAAUAAAUAACUGAAGCACUGUCUACGCAAGCUAGUACCAACUCUGAGUUUUUGCCAUGCUUUUCCACAUUACACUCCAAUUCCAAUCCAAGCCCCAGCCACACAGUUGUGAACAUGAAUGCAAAGCAAAGUUUUGUUUAAGUAUUUUAAAGAAAAGUUUGUCUUCUGGUAAUGCAGGAGAUUUUGUUCUGUUUAGUUUUUUGCUGGCAUCUUUGGCCUGUGAAAGAACAAGCAGUUCUGUUGUUAAAGCUCUGUGUUUGAAAAAUAUUUAUAUUGUCCCAUAAAAAGACACAGUGCUUAAAUUCUGGUAUGGUAUUUUGUUUUCACAUACUUUGCCUUAUCCACAUUGCCUUGUUGUUUCACCAUGUGUUUUCUCCUAAAAACCUUGGCUGCAACAAAACCCAUGAAAUCUUUUGCAUUCGCCUCUGGGCUCUGACACAAUGCAGAGACAAUGGACACAACUUUACAGAGAGGUGUUGAUCUGCCUCAUUAGAGGUGUGGCACACAAUUUUUGCAAGCCAAAUAAUGGAAGUCACCAUCAAUGUAAAACUGCCAAAGUCGGGGCGGGGGGGGGGAAUAUUUUGGUAUAAGAAAAUGGUCAGAGUUCAUACCCCUGUCCAGUGUCUCAUAUCUAUGAAAUGGGGGCAAAACAGUCCACCCCUUACCUGAAACAUUGCUGACAGAGCUGCCAUUGCUGAUCCAAUUUUGUAAAGACAUGCCCCCUCUCUUUUCCCUCCCCCUUGGCUGCUAUUCAGGGACAGCUGUAACUCUUUUGUAGCUCCCAACCACCCUUGCAAAACACAUCAACACUGAAACUGCAAAAUUAGUCUGUGAGUUGCUGGUCUGGCAAGCCAAAUGAUCAGGCAGUACAAUGCAUGAAGGAGUAGUUGUUAUUUCUACAUUUAAAAAAUGGAAGUGUCUUCACAGUGCUGUUUGUAUCAAAUCCAGCCCCAUCCCUCUGCCCCCCAAAUUUUAUCUGCAUUUACCAUUUCCAAGGAAAAUGUCCUAAGUAAAAAAUAAUAAUAUUGUCAAUGACCCAUUUCCAAAGCACUUGGGGGAAAGAAAAAAAGAGGGGAGAACCUGGGCUUCUUUCGAAAUUAUUAACUGGAUGCUACCAAAAGCAAUACAUCUCAUUCAUCUACAAAUUUAACACUAGAUUACUCUAAUGCUAGUUUUGUAAUUUUUGCCUCAUGCUUCUAAGCAAAUAAUAUUUUGUUAAAAGAUAAGCCUACUUCUUAGCACUAUUGCUGAUACUCAGAGAGAUGGAAAUCUAUUCCUUUUUCAGAUAAAUCUAAAUGUAUUAUAGGAGCAUGAUUUAGAAGGUUAGGCCAUUUUUCAUUCUGUCCAAGAGAUGAAAUUUAAGAUGUUAAUAGUUUGGAAAACAUCAUUUGAAGAGCAUAUGCAUUUAAUCACUUCUGAGCUUGGCUCGAACGUAUGGAAUUUUAGAUGAAAAGCAUGUCUGUUUUCUUCUGGAAGAUCUAUUUUCGGUUUGGCUUCCGCUUCCCCCUAUAUCUGUCAUACAGAAAAUCUGAUUUGUGCUUAAGUCCUGGAUUGUCUGAUUUAUUUAUGCUAUUCUCCAAAUUUGUGGACAUCAAUACUCAUCUUCUUCAACUGCCAUAGCCUUAUAGAAAGUGCUUUAUGGCUGACUAUUAGCAUGGUACUUUCUUGUGGGAGUCACUACUGUUCCACAGUAUUAGCCUAUUUUUUCUUGGGAAGAUGUUUAAUGACAAUAAAUGAAAUUAUAUUAAUAAUAUUAUGCUUUUAAACAUUUAUUGUAAUAUUGAUGGGAGAGGAUAGUUAAGACAAUUUCAGAUCAGAUCAGGAUCAAGGCAGUGGUCACCUAAAUGCUAAUGAAAUUAAACAUGGAUAUUAACAUUAUUGUUUUCCACCUGCCUGCUGCUGAGCAUUACACAGUUGCAGCCAGCAAGUUAAACAUGUUUUCAAUCCCUGCUUUCUCCAGUGUGUAUUAUGGAUUAAUACAAUGCUUCAUGGCUCACCUGCAUUAGCUUUUUACAUCAGUGUCACCCAGGGACAGUGAGAUAGCAGAAGUGAAGACAUACUGUAUAUGUUAAAAAUAUAGACUUAAGCCCCUUCGUAUUGAUGUGCUUUGUGUUUCUUCACACACAUUCAUGAUACUAUUAAAACUCAUAUAGAUUGGCAUGAACCUAUGAAGCUAAAAACACAGGAUAAAUAAAUAAAUUAUCCAUUCAUUCAUUUUAUUUGUAUGCUACUUUUCCACUGUUGUCUUUGUCCAUGGAGUUUUCUUGGCAGGGAUACUGGAGUGGCUUGCCGGUUCCUCCUCCAGGUGGAUCACGUUUGGUCAAAACACUCCACUAUGACCUGUUCAUCUUGGGUGCCCUGCUCGGCAUAGUUCAUAGCUUCUCUGAGUUAUUCAAGCCCCUUCGCCAUGGCAAGGCAGUGAUCCAUGAAGAAGGACAGAUCGUGAAGCUGAGGCUCCAAUACUUUGGCCACCUCAUGAGAAGAGAACACUCCCUGGAAAAGACCCUGGUGCGGGGAAAAGUUGAGGGCACAAGGAGAAGGGGACAACAGAGGACGAGAUGGUUGGAUAGUGUUCUCGAAGCUACCAGCAUGAGUUUGACCAAACUGUGGGAGGCAGUGGAAGACAGAAGUGCCUGGCUUGCUCUGGUCCAUGGGGUCACGAAGUGUAGGACACGACUAAACGACUAAACAACAACAAUUUUUCUACUCACACAAAAUCCUGCUGAAAGCGGCUUACAACAAAUAAACAGGAAUGCAUUUCAAACAAACACAUGUUGGCAUCCGACUGCCCAAAGAAACAAUGGAGUACACCUCCAGGAAUGAAGUCAAACUGCUGCGUUAGCAGCACCAAAGAGACCUCCCCAGGGCAUAAGCCUGGACAGUAUGUAGGGAGAUUCUGGGCUGUCCAGGCAACAAGACCCUCCCUCUCAGCCUCACUGAUGUGGUCCAAAGGAAAGCAGAGCAAUAUCUUUGGUAGCAGCUUGGCUGCAGGAGUUGCCAGAAGGAGGUGUACAAGGCCAACAAUCUUAGGGACUCGACUCCAGAUUUGUGUGGAGUGUACUCCUUAGCCUUUUAUUCUUCUGAAGCUAUCCCACAAGGCAGCGGAGGUUCAGGAUCAGAACUUUCCUUCUCCUAGAUGGGCUACUUUCCCAGGUUGAUCAGCCCCAUCUGCCCCCUCACUUCCUUCUACAGCACAUGCAGAAACCACCUUCUUAACUGUUGGACCCACUAUUAGUCUUGUCUGCUCAACCCACCAGAGCCCAUCUUCACAUGCAGAGGAAGUCCCUAACUCACUGAAGGUUUGAGACCAUCUGCUACCCUUGCCUGAUUUAGCUGGCCAAUCAAAGCCAUUUCCUGGGAUGUGGCAGCUUUCACAUGCUGACAGCUUCUAGGAGCCACGGGUGAGAGUAGGAUGCAGGGUGGGGACCAAAGGUGGACAAACUUCCCCAGAAGGAACAUGACGUGUCCUCCACCAGAGAUACCACCCCUCCACUAGCAGCCCAUACACCACAACUACAAAACAAUUGCAUAAUAGCACAGAAACAUUUUCAUAAUAUAGCAAAACCAUAGCAAUUUCAUAACAUAGCAAUAAACAAUAGCAAAUAUAGUAACAUACAAAAGACCACCUUCCAAUACUAUAAGUAUAGCAACAUGCAGCAUCCAAAAGCAAAAACAGCCCCCCUCCUGCAGCUACUUGCACGGUUUCCAAGGGCAAAGGUUGGGGUAGCUGGAAACACCCCUCCCAUGCUGUUAAAUCUUACAGUGCAUUCAAGUAAUAUUAAUUAUCUGAGAAUAAAACUACACUCGUAGGUCUUUAUAACAGGCCCAUAAAUCAGGAAGAAAAGCUAAUCCAAUGAGGUAUCCAAUAAAUCUUUGAUGGAGGAAAUAAAUCCAAAGCAAGUUGUUAAAUUUAAUUUUCGCCAUCGACACCGCAAAAGCUGUAUAACACAGAGAGGAGGAGGGAAACAAUAUAUAUUUAUUCAAUGUUUUUGACCCAAGUUGGUAACAAUGUCAAACACAACUGUUAUUGUGGCAACUGCAGUUUACAUCCAGGCUGAAGCUUUUCUCUGAGAAUUUUUAGACAUGUAGCGGAAAGACCCAUUUCUCCAGAGAUGGCACCAACUGGAAAAAUCUCUCUACCAACAGACAGGCUGAGGUAAUCCCUCGGUCCUGAGAGAUAGUCGGGUAAAACUGCCUCACACACAGUACAGCAAGGAGAAAAUGGAGCUCUCACAUAAAGACAAUGUCAUUUUCUCAGAAACUAUGACACAAAGCACAGAGGUCUGUGCAGUGUUAUUUUUCUAGGAAAAGAAGGGCUGGAACUUUCAUGAAAGCCUCCCUUGGUCUCUUAUAAUGGCAAUGGCAUCCAUCUAAGAGGUGCCAGAACUGAGUUUUGGUGAGUUUUGGCUGUAAAAAAGCCCUGGAUCUAUGGGAAUUAAAGGUGAAAGAACUCAACUGAUUUUCCCAAAAGGGGUUUCUUUUCUCUGCAUAGCAGCAAUAACCAGAGAGUGUUUCUAGUUAGCUUUUGUUUUCUUCCUUAGGCUUUAUGUGUCUGGAAAAACUGAAGCCUGAGUCAGAUGUUCACGUUUCUUAAACAUUCACUCACUAGUUUGACUAUUAAGGGGAGGGGCAGAGACAGUAAUGGAUGAAUUUGGCAACUUUAUUUACUCUGAAUUUCUCAUUUUUCAAAUUUAAAAUUAGAUUAUUAUUUACUUUCCACCUCAGCUUGCAAUUUUUUUAUAUAAAGGUCUGUAUGAAAAUUUGUUAGCAUUUAAGUGUGCAUUUUUGGUAACAUACACAUUUUUGUGUGCGAUUUUCUGUUUAUCCCUCCCAGAUCUAUAAUUCCCAGGAACUUUAACAAAUUACAUUUCCAGGAUUGUCCCAGGGGCAGGAUGUAUACGUGAGUUAAAUAUAUGUUGUUUCUGCAGCCUUAUUGUCCUUUGCAAUUUCUUUAUUUAGGGAAAAAAUACAGUACCACAUAAGGAUAUGCUUAGAUUACGUUACAUUAAAUCUGCCCAACAUAUGGAGAGUGUCAUUUAAUUUCUCAUUUCCUUUAUUAUUAACAUUUAAAGUGUGGUUGUUAUACUGUGUGAAGUCAUUUUAUUGCUUUCAAAGGGCUUUGGAAUCAAAAACUUUUUUUUUUUUAGUGUAUCAUGCAAGCAUGUCAUAAAUAAAAUAAAAUAAUCAUUUCCAUUAAUUCAUAGUGUUCUAUAUUAAAAUGAUCAAACACGCACUGGGGACCUCUGCCCUUUUUUCACCAAGUUCAGCUAAAGGUCGACAGAAUUCUUAUUCUAGUAAGGAACACUCAGAAAUUGACUGAAUAAUGGUGCUGUUCAAGAAAGCAAAUUAAAUCAGAAAUGCUUUCCCCUAACUGUUAGCUCUUUAAUUUCCUUAAUCAGAAGCCAGUACACAGGAAGAAAUUCCCAGGUCACUUAACUAUACAUGGAGAUGUAGUGCUUGCUGAAAGGGCCCUGCAAGGGACAUGCAAAAUGUGGCACCACAGAGGCUCUGCUGCCAAGUAUCAAAGAGAGAAGUCUUGUUUUCAAUGUUUUGGUUAGGAAAUAAGUGAGUUAUCUAAAGCUUCCUCUUGGAAAUUAAUUGAAUUACUGUAAGAUGUGGAACACAUUAUAUAAUAUCUGCGACAUUUAGUCAGGCAUAGCUCAUUUGUUAUCAUUUUCUUCAAAGUAGCUACUCACAGUUGUUGUUGUUGUUGUUGUUGUUGUUGUUGUUGUUUUUAAUAUUUGCACUGCGCUGGUUGCACCAGUAAUGCUGAAGGCACCAAUCACCUGGUCAGAUUUUGUGCUGAUUGACAGCCAAUUCAUAGGUCAUCAUCUUAAUGAAGGAACGUCUACAAUUAAACUCCUGCCACCUAUAUGGGUCUAUCAAACAACAGUGAAUGAUUCUUUCUUCUUCUUUCAACUAGCAGGGGUCAGGAAAACUCAAAAACAGUCUAAGCAAAGUAUGGUUCUACUGCAACAUAGCAGUGUUAGGAGUCUUGCUCCAUGCUUGCAGUCAUGGGAUUGUUGUCUAUCACACGACGGUGUACGUUUUCAUUCCACAGUGUGGGAAGUGACGGAGACAGGACGUUUUGGUUUUAGUGUGUUCCGUGAAGUGGGACUAUUGUGCUUUGUUCCUUAUCUCUUUGCUGUCUGAUGAGAAAGAGGAAGGAGCUAAGUCAGAAUGCUUCAAGUGUAUUAUAUGUAAAUAAAGCAGAUUAGCCAAAAUGCUGAGCUAUUGAGUCUGUUAUGGGAACUGCAAAUACUAUGCAGGGUCACUAAGCUAUUACGUAUCAGUCUUUUGCCUUUUGGUAUCAGUCGCUGUGAUGUGCAGGCUGGAGAAAGCUUUUGAAGCUCCCGACAUACCAGGAGGGAGAGAACAUGCCAAUCGGGCAUGUGUCUCUACCAGGGUCCUACACACGAGUAGGAUGAUCCUAACAAGCAGAUGCUUCUUGCCAGGCUAAUAGGCUAAUGAUUGAAGUAGGAUGAAUAUGUUUCUUGUUCUAGAGGAGUGUUAUUUAUUUGAAAGGCUGUCCAAGGAAAGUCUUCUCUUUGCAUGCCUCUUCUGUGUGGCGGGCUUUGGGCUUUCAAUUUUCAGUGGUGCCCUUUGAGACACUGAAAUUCAGUCAUUGACUCCCACCUCUCGCCUUCCAUUUUAAUUAAUUGUUGUAGCAUCCCAUGCAGUGCCCUCUCGGCUCAGUGCCCAAUGUGGGCAAACCAGUCUCACUCCCCAUAAUCCACCUCUGAGACCUGUCUAGUGUAACCUUAAGAAUCAAGGGCAGGGACCUUGAAGGUGCUCAUCAACAUUUAGCACCUGGGCAGCAAACUAAGAAGGCACACAGAUUAUCAACUAUGUUGAGAAGUAUUGUCAUUCUAAUAGAAGUUUUAUAACCUUUCCUCACACAUGAAGAGGGGGUAAACGGGAGCAUCUCAGAAUGAGUCUCACAAUGGCUUAGUCUGCAUGUAAGACUAGGCUAUAUCAUGGUUCCAUGCAAACAUGGGAAUAUGCAGGUCCCCAGAUAGAUGGUUGUAGUCGCUUUGCUCCUCUUUUGGUCUCACUGGUACUGCACUGCUGUGAGCUAAGCCAUGUUUUAGCUUAAUACAUCAUCUCAGUUUGGGCUUGUGAUUUUUUUGCUACAACCACAAGCUGUAAAUUUUAAUUACUCAUUUUUAAAGCUGUUUUUUAUUUAUAAUUUUAGUAUUUCUUGUAAACCUCUUAGAGGUUUUAUUACAAUCAAGCAGGGUUUUUAUUUUUAAAAAUAUUAUUUUAAUUGAGAUAAAAUAAAGCAAAAACAAUGGUUUAACAACAUUGCAUGUGGACCGAAUCAAUGGCAUAUUAUGUUGUCAAUUUGUCUGGAUCUAUAGUUCUUCAUGGCAAUUGGUCCUGUUCUCUGUUAGAACAGUAUCUUCUUGAAGGCCAUCCAAGCAGUUUUAAUAACUUGCCUUGGCAACUUACUGCAGAAUAGCUGCUGUUGUAACAUAGUUUUAUGUAGAUACAUCACUUUAUACAUCUGAUUAACUUCUUGCUUAGCUGCUGCUAAUUUGCAAGUUUAGCAUAUCUGCGAGCUAUCCCCAUAGGAAAAUCUGGACCCAAACUUUGUGCCACACAGCAUGGGCAUGCUUUUGGAUUGCUUACCACCCUUGUAGUUUGGGGGCUGAGAUCCAAAAAGUUCCUUUGGGUGUGCCUAUAGGAUAUCACAUGCCCUUUGGGAUAUUUAAAGCUUAAUUCUGUUUGAGUAACAGAUUUCUUCAUGCCACAAAACUGUUAUGAAUACAGCAACAGAUUUACGAGCUUACAAGCAAUUCCCAAAUAACUCACAAGGACCCAACAGACCUGUUUUGGGUUUAUUGAACUGAAUGUUAACUAGAAAACAGGAAGUAAACUGCAAAGCUGGGUAAGAUUUAAAGGAAAACUAUAUCCCAGAAGGAUAGCAAAACCAGUAACACCAUUUAGUAACAGAUAAGAAAGAAAUGUCCAUGGGCCUACUCUGCAUAUCAUUAGUAUUAGAUAUCACCCAUACUGUUUAAAAUAUCAAAGGGGUGAGAUGAGAUACAGAAGACAAAACAACACAACAGUGUGGAAACAAAUUACAGUAUCUUAGAUAAACUUCAAAAGGAAUUCAAGAAGUGUUCCUGUGCUUACACAGAUGUUGUGAAUCUGUUUGGAUUACUAGUAACACUGGACCAUUUUUUUCCAAAAUCAAGGAAUGCAAAAGCUUUAGUGAGAGCUUCCCUAAGUAAAAUGCGAAUCUCUCUGUCCUCUGAACUAAAACAAUUCAGUCAUUUCUUAGAUACUGCUGAAGGAUGUGGUGGAUGUGAGGAUUCUGCACAUAGUAGCUUAAAGGUGAUUUACAAUAAGGGCCCAGUUGAAACUUUCCCAAAUGUUGCCAUGGCUCCUCACCGUCCUUUAUCUAAUGCUGCCAUUUUUGAAAGCUGAAGGAGAAAGAGUGUUCUCCAAUUUAGCCUUUUAUUAAAAAUAAGUUUUGCUCCACAAAGCUACAAUCAAGACUGUCAUCAUUAUCUGUUCUUCCCAUAGAAUGAGAUCUUCUGAGAGAAAUAGUUUUCGAUAAUCUCCUCCUCAAAUUUGCUGGCAAGAAAAGCAGAAAAAGAAGAUACCUUUUAAACAUUCUGAAUGUACUUGGUCAUUGUGCAUUUUUUUUUAACUUUAGUUAAAGUUAUAAAAUCUUGACAUUCUAAUGUUAAACAUAGUGUUUUGUUUUUUAAAGAGUAUUAUAUGCAUACUUACUUUUCCCAGCUGAGGCAUAAAAUUACAUUGACACAAGGUGCUAUGACAAAGAGGAGGUGGGGAGAGGCCUCAAAUGAGCCUUCUGCCCUGGGCUUAAGAAAUAUUUUUUUUUUAACAGUAAGAAGGGUGGAGGAUUGUGGUAUGACCACUGGAGCUGUCAAGAGGUAGAAUUUAAGGUGUUGAGAUAGCGUUUUUAAAACCAUUUAAUUGUUUUUAUUCAGUUUUUUGUAUGUUCUGAAUUGCCUGGAGCUAAUGUGAAAGGCAAAAUGCAGAUUGCGUAUGUUGAGAAAAUGGAACUAAGCUGGCAUUACUCCAUGUUUGUUACACGUUUUCACAAUUCUAUUUACCCCUCUUCAAAAUGAUGCAUCUUGGACCACUUACCGGUAUAUCUAGCUCCUGUAGAAGAUGCAAUGAUGUUUCCAUUAUGGAUGUUGCAAGUGAUUUGCAGCGCACUGCACGUAAAUCAAACUGAACUUGACACUAGCCUCCAGUAAAUACACAAAUCCUUAAUCUUUCCAGCUUUCUUUAGUUUAAAUCUUUAACUUUUUCUCUGCCCCUAAUGGGGGAAAUGAAUAAUUUGCCUCUUCUUUUUCACAUCCUUUCAAAUAUUUGAAAUCUCUCAUGCUUGGCUCCUAUUUAUUCGUUUAUACAUCUUUGGAAAUCAGCAGCAUAUACAGUGAAUCUUGCUUUGGUCUUCAGGUUUGGCCUUGGGGGCUCCCUGAAACUAUGGAAAUUUUAAGAAAUCAUCUUACCUAGGCUACUAUUUGAAUGUUCCUUAUAGUCCAAGUUUUGGAUAAGUAUGAAAUUGGUGUAUGUGUGUGUAUGAGAGAGAGAGAGAGAGAGAGAGAGAGAGAGAGAGAGAGAGAAUGACUAUGCAAAAACAAGAGGAGAGAUGGAGGACAAAUUGGUAAUGCAUAAGCAUCAGCAUUUUGAAUUACUUUAAGUGGAACAAAAUAAGAUUUGUUUAGCCUUGAUAGAAUUUGUGCAGAUCUUACUUCAGAGAGCAGGGGGGAGGUAAUGUUUCUUAACCAUUACCACAUACCCCAAUGUUAUCAUAGUAAGUUCUCUAGCUUGGGUGGGCAAUGGAUGGUUUUGUGAUAUAAUCAGUCAUCUUCUGACAGGAAAUUAGCUCUGCGGGAAUUUGUUAGAAAAUGAAUCAGCCAUACACUGACACUUUCUAUUUCCCUAAGUAUAACGUAAUUGGUAAGUGGUAUCUAAUGUCUGUGGUAAUAUAUUAAAUAAAAAGCCCAUUAUAUACGCAGGAUUCCAUUUUCUUAUUUGAAAGACACAGGUUGUAGGCCUAAAAGCACUUAUGGCAAAGUGGUUACAUUGAAAACUUUCUGAAAUCUAUGGGUCUACUGUAAACAUUCUGGGGUGUACAAUACUAUGUAAAGAAAAAUCUACCACCAGGUCCAUUAGAUAUUUGCAUUAUGUCUGGGCUCACCAGUGUAGCUGCACUGUGUUACUUUUGGUCCAUGGUGCAUUAUAUCUAGAUAGCUGAAGAAUGCUUAAUUUGUGUUUGCUCCUGAGACAUUUCUAGGGGGUGGGGAGUGUCCAAGAAGGUCUUUAUCACAACUAUCCAAAAUGUCAUAAUAAAAUAGCAAGCAAGUUGAAAUCUCAAAGCCUUGCUCACAGUUUACAGCACCAACAAGAAGUCACUGCAGGAGUGUAAGAAUAACAGGGAGCAGAACAUUAUGUCCAAAAGGCAUCUUGUAAACUGCCAUUGAUCUGGAAAAGUACUAAAAAAAAACAAAAAACCACCUUCAUCAAAAAUCGCAAUGGUUGGGAUGUAUCUGGUAAUUUUAGUUUUGUGGAUCACUGCUUGCCAUUUGCAGUGUCUCUUGAAUGUGCCCGCUCUACUGUUAUCAACCAUGUAGUCAUGUUUCUUUCUCGGUAUGUAAGAUUCCUCCUCUGCCAAUGAAGAAUUCCUUUUCAGCAUGUUUAAAUUAUUGUUUUUUAUUGUAAAUUUUCAGAAAGGGUAUGGUGGAUGUGGUUAGUAUUGCAAUAUUACUGAUAAUCUUAAAUUAUCUGGACAGCUGGAUUUGGCUGGUUUUAUAUUUUAUCUGACCAUAUGAUUCUGCAAAUGUGAAAUUCACUCAUCAGGCUUUUGAUGGUUAUUGCAUAGCAGUGGAGUAGGACCAGGCCUCCUAGCUCUGUCUCCCAGCAUCAUGCCCUGCACCUGCCUGCCUCCAUCCCUCUGAUUCUUGCACAUUUGGCAAAGCUGAAUUGACUCCACCUUUUGCUCUUUGCCAAAUGCACAGAGAUCAGAGAGGCCGGCUGCACUCAAAUAGGCUUUUCCAUGAUUGGGAUUACAACUGGUUCCCUACUUCAGAUCUUUGCUGAACAUGCAAAGAUCAGAGCUAGGUGGACAACUUUAGUGUUUGAAGCAGACACCACUCUCAUUCACACAGAGUGGUCUACUUGGGUGGGUUUGGGGAAGAAAUGAAAAUAAAUUUUGCAAGCAGCUGAGCAGGUCUUUCCAUCUUCAGGUUCCUCUACAACUUACUUUUAUAACAUUUUUUUAUUGUUUGUGGUGGAAAUGUUAUUCUGCACCCCCAAGAUAACCUGCUUUGUAAAGGUCUUUGAUAAGGGCUCGAAUCACUGCCCCUUUCCCUUCUUCCCUCCAGGAAAAGUAGCUCAGAAAUAAUUCUUUCUGGUGUGUGUUUGUUCGGCAACAUUUUUUUCCUAUUAGCACACAGUUCAGAUUGAAUUUGUUUUGGCUACUUAGAGCAAGCCUGCAUUUCCACCAGUACAAAUUGAAUUGUAAAGAGAUAGGUUUCAAGACGUCUGCCAAGGAUUAAUUCUCCCCUGCAGAUAUGUAGAAAGAUUUAUUGUCCACUGGAUAGUAUAGAACUUUGAACCGGACCAGUUUUGCCUCUUUCUCGUGUCUGCACAGAUUAUUUGUUUCAUUCUCCAUGUUCCAUCUUUCACUGUUGCAGUUAAGUAGUCAGUACAGAAAAGCCUAUUUCUCAAGCCUGCAAUUCAGUAUUCUGCACUGCCAAAUGCAAGGCCAUUGGAGAAUGACAUUGACAUUUUCAAAAGGGGGAAAAUAAAUAAGGUUAAGAGUAACAGUAGAUGAGGGGGAUAUUUUUCUUUCUUUUUGGGAGCAAUAUAGAAGAAGAGUUUAUAUUGUCAUUUUCAAGAUAUUUUAAGGCAAGUCCAUAGAAGGCAUGCAACCCAGCUAAGGGCGUUUGUUGUCUUAACGGGCUGCUUCUCAAUUAGUAGGCUAGGACCCACCAUGGGCCUUGGGACAUUUCAGGUGGACCUUGGUGUCACAGCUUGCUCAAAGACUUCCCACUUUUUUGUCCCACCCUCUAGAUAUGCCAUCAGCUUUCGGUUGGGCCACUGCCAGCACCAGCAAUUCCUUGCAUGCUCAGUAAAGGUAGCUGGGAGACAAAACGGUUUAGAGCAAGGCGGUGGGGGGUUGGGAGAAGAGAAGGAAGAUCUUCCUACUCUGAGGGGAAUGGGCCAGAGCAGGUGCUGAAUGAGACUAGAAAGAGAGAUUAAAGGUUCACAUAAGUGGUUGAAUGUGAAUAGAAAGGAAAAGAAAAGAGAGAGAAACUGUGAUAGGAGGAAGGAAUGACUGUAAAAGGACCAGGGAAGAGAGAUGAAGGAAAGCAGGAGCUUGGGAGAUGGGCGAAAAUAAGGUGCAAGUUGAGUGUGACAGAAUGGAGGCAUGUGAGGGUGGGAAGAAGAAAUGUAAAUGAAAAGACCUUCUCUGGAUCAAUAAAUUCAGCCUAAGAUGGGUUGGCUGCCACAAUACCUCCAGAGCAAAUGUUUGUACUCAACUUGAGCUAUUGAGCUCCUGGCCACAGGGAAAAGGCUGUGGCAAAACAUCUACCAACUUCAAAAGACAAAUUAGAUAUCAGCAAAAAAUGGUACUAGGAAAGUACCAGUAGUUACCCUCAUUACCAUUUCAGUAAUUUUCAGCCAUCUCAGAUAGGUCCUGGGGGCAUAAGGUUUGGGAAACCUCCCCUUAAUGAAUGUGCAGUUAAGGCUCGUCUACACUUCUGGUUAUCCUGUGCCUAGAAAGCAUGGGUCCAAGCAGUUUUCCUCUGGUCCCACCACAUUCCCCAGGAAAACCCACUGUUUACCAGACAAACACAGAAAAAUCAAUUGACGUUUGUUUCGAUUCAGUGGUAAACAGUAGGUUUCCCUGGGGGAAAGUGGCGGGACAAGUGGCAGUGUGGACAAGUCCUUAGUUAUUGGCAGGGGGACAAGGAGAGGUGAAUCAGGCAUGAAAUGCAAGAUUCAUGAGGGGAUAGGGCACAAUCUGACAAUAUCAGGUUUUUUUGAAAUCAAAACCAACUGGACAAGGAGUUGGUCAUAAUUACCCAAUGAUUAAAGUAUGGUCCCUUGUCUGCACAUGCUUAGAGGUAUUCCUUCCAGCUGGAAGUUACAUAGAAAACCAUGCCUGCCUGAUGUAUGGUACCAGUUGCAUGAGGAAGAAGCAGGGGGAGGAAGUAGCAUGAGGCUAUUUCCUAAUGAUUAUUCAGAUUUCCUCCUUCCCCUGGGUCAACCUACCUACCAUCUUCCCUUCUGUAGCUUUCCAGAAAUCUUCAGCAUUUUUUCUUCUUCCCUGUGUGCUCUUGCCAUUGAUCAAUCAAAGCCAACUUCAUGUCUAAUCACAGGAAAGGAAACAAUCUGUCAUUUAGCAAACAACAGGAAGUUUUAAAAUAUUUAUUACAUAGUGAGAUUUUCCAUUUACUUGCUUGUGAAAAGGGGGGAAAUAAGGGCUGUGUAUAUAAUGAAGCAUUUUGCAAUUCUGUCCUCUCAGAUAUACAGCUUUAAAUGUCAAUCAAGUAUGUACUUUUCAGAUGUAUGUAAUUGAUGUAUUAACUUGUAUUUCUUUUUAUACUGUGUGAUAUGGUCCAGGAAUUUAAAUUGUAUUUAGAUAACCUAGGAUGGCCUUUCGCCCCCCCCCCCCACAAGCUGGAGACAACAGAUUGAUUAAAAAGCAUGGGUCAGCAUUCAACCUCUGGAUUAAAGUUAUAUUAAAAGAAGGAGAAUAGCUUUGGGGUUUUCAGGAGAAAAUGAAUAUUCAACACAGUCAUAAACUGUGUAUAGUCUUCUUAAGACUAUAACAUCUAUAAUUGCACUACUGUUUGUGUGUGUGUGUGUGUGUGUGUGUGUGUGUAUACACACACACACAACACACACACACAGUAUCUCAUAGCCUGAUAACUACAGUAUGUUUUGUUCUGCUUGGAUGGGAGAAUUCUACUCAAUAAUUGAGGAAACCAGUGUUGUGUGAGAAUUAAUGAUCUCACCCAGUCAAUAUUAUACUUGCUGAAAUUCUGGUCACCUUAAUUGGAAUUAAUUGUUUCAUUAGUGUGGCCACUUUUUCAGUAACCUUACUAACCGAAAUUGAAGUGUCACUGGACUACAGUGUGUUUUUUUACUUCCUCAUGAGUAAACCAGGGAUAGCCAAAUGGUGCCCUCCAAACGUUUUUGGAAUGAUGCUCUUCCUAGCAUCAUCUGCUAGGAAUGAUGGCAGCUGUAGUCUAACAACAUCUGGAGGGCAUUCCAUUAGCUGCCCCUGCCUUCAGUUAUGCCUGGCAUUCCAGGGCAUAAAGGCAAAUACAACUAAACCACAGAAGGGAUCUGAGAUCUUCAGCAAAGGUCCAUCUCUCAGUAUCACCAUCCUCACAGGAAUACUGGAUGAGGACGCAAGAGAAGGCCUUCUCCCAGACUUUGGAACUCCCUCCCUAGAGAAGCUAGACUGGCUCUCUCCUUGCUAUUCUUCCACUUGCAGGUGAAGACUUACUUGCUCCAACAGGCAUUUGGGAAUUGACUGUUUUUAAUGAAAGUACUGGUGCCAUGCUGUUUUUAUUGUAGUUAUUUGUAUACUUUGAACAGAUUUUAUAUAUUUAUAUAAUUUCAAUGCUGACAAUGCUUAAUGGUAUUUUAAUGAUUGAUUUUUCUAUGUUUUUAGCUGUUCUUGUUUUUAUCUGUAAGCUGCCUUGAGUCCUAUCAGUGGAAAAGGUGGGGCAUAAAGAUAUAGACAACAACAACAACAACACACUCCUUUAGUAGACAAGAGCCUCAACAAUAAACUGAAGAGACCAAAUAUGAAUCCUAGUUUAGUUCAACGUCACGAUGCUGUUUUAAUACCAGGUAGUGAUCAUGGGUAAUGAAUUCAAAUAGCGCACCUAACCUACUUCACAGGGUUGUUUUGAUGAUAAAAUGGGAAGGAGAAUCAUCUAUGCCAGUUCGAGAUCCUUGGAGGAAAGAUGGGAUAUAAAUGUAGAGGCAGUACAACGCUACUACAGUGUCAUCCUAUGGGAAAUAUUUUGUGCUACAAGCACUGUAUAUCUUCCAUAAUUUAAGACGUAAAGGUGUGAGAACAUAUACAAACCAUUUGUAGGAAUAUAUAUAUAUAUAUAUAUAUAGGGUUUCUGAUAUUCAGUCAUUCCAUGUAUUAAAAAUCAUACAUCAGGCUAGGUCAUUAAGUAUCAUUUAUCCUGCUUUACAGAACUCUUGGGUACAAGAAAAAUGGUAUAUAGACUCUACCAUUUUAGAAAGAGUAAAAACUCUGCUUAGUUUUGCUUCCCUCCAUCUCAAGAACUCCAGCAUAUACCCCCUCCCAUUUGAACUUGAAUAAAUCACAUUUCCUUAUAUGAGUCAUAAUAUUGAGUAUAUUUUUAUAAUAAAUUGGGAAGGGGAAAAGGAUGACGCAUUGUGCUUUCACAACCAUUUGUUUUUCUCUCUCUUACUCUCCUUGUCUUGAAACCUGAGCUGUAGAACUUCAAACUUCUACAAGCAGAUUGAAGUGGGAAUUUGUCUGCAGGGAGCCUGGCACAAGGGCUUUAAUGGCAAUAAAACAGGACUGCAAUGUUUUUAAAAGUUUUAGUCUUCAGAAAAGAGUCUGUAUACUUUUUAUAAAGUGAAGAAAUUCUGAGACAGGUGAGAAGCCCUGGAUUUAGUCUGUUCUCCUUCACUCUCCCUGGUAGCAGUUUUGUAACCAGUGUGAGGAAAAGGGAGUUUUUGCUUUGCUUUGCUUUUGUAUCAUCAUUGUAUAGAUAACCCCAUUAAAAAGAUAAUUCUAUAUAUCAUAUUAUUGUGAGUUUAGGUGUUGGGGUAGGGUGUAUGCCUGAGUCCCUUCUACCAUAAUUCCUUGACCCAACAAGGAUUCCAUUGCUGGAAUAGCAAGCAAGUUUCUUGAUAAUGACCUAAGAAUGGAGGAUAAUGAAGGAAGUGGCUCUGUGCCAAAGAGAAAAUGUGUGGGUCCUCCUCCCUCAACUGCCUGUUAGUUAUAAAGACAACAGCUAGAGUUCAGGUGUGAGAGCUGGAAGCAGGAGGAAGCAGGCAGAAGCCAGAGAGUAAGACCCAUGCCUAAUUUCUGCAGGAAUCCAAGGCUGUGGCCACGGGGAAAGCAAGAGCUUCUUGGGCUAUUAAUGCUGUGAGCUCCUCCAUGAUAGGAUCAGGUUGUAAAGAUGUGUGAAUAAACAACAUAUCAUAAAGACAGCACAGUUUCCGCUAUCCGAGUAAACUGAAUCCCGGAAAAGUGCCUGGAAUCCCUGGAACUCCUCACCUCUCAGAGAUUGGGAUGGCAUGUAGCAAUAGCAAUCAUUGCAGCAACAUCUUAUCUGUGGAUUCAUUCAAAUAUAAUUAGGUGCAAAAUUCAGUUUUUUGUUGGUGUUCUCUAUGAUUUGAAUACUUGUAUCAAAGUGGGCCAUUAGACAAGUAUUUUUACUUACGCUUUUAUUUAGAAAAGCAUAUUUACAAAGAAAAGGAUGGAUGGAGCUUGGAGUGAGAACAGGUUGAUUGACAAGAGUCCAAUGCUAGAACGAGGGAAGAUUUCAUCAUCCGCCUGUAAGUUAAUGGAGGGCAGAUAAAAAAGGUGAUGCUCAUUAGAUGAAAGAGCAGAGGAGAUGAAGUGUGCUAUCGACUACUAGGAACUGUUAGUGGACAGUUGUUGUUGCUUUUUGUAGUAUAUCUUUAAAAUAGUAUUUUCAAGGGGACAAUAAUACGUAUCAUUUUUAAAAGAAUUCAUUAUUCAGCAAAUAAAGUGGCCAAUUAUGCACUGCCAGAGAGGUUUGCAUCACAAAGAGAGGACAAAACAAGAUACCAGUCUGCAUAAGUAUUUGCAUAUGGUGAUCUGUAAGUUUAGGUGCAAAUUUAGAAAUAAUGACUAAAAUUGUAAUUUAAAUAUAAAUACAGCAGGGCACACCAUAGUGGGGAAGGUAUCAGUCUGCUGUUCAGGUGGUGCUAGUAGGGCAGCCCUCAGGUGUCCUCUAUAAGGUAGAACACAUGGUCACCCUAGUUGAACAUAGUAGGUACAAUCUAUAUCUGUGAUCCAUACCAGGCAUCCCCAACCUUCGGCCCUCCAUGUUUUGGACUACAAUUCCCAUCAUCCCUGACUGCUGGUCCUGUUAGCUUGGGAUCAUGGGAGUUGUAGGCCAAAACAUCUGGAGGGCGGCAGGCUGGGGAUACCUGAUCUAUACACAUAUGUCUAUAAGGGGGGGCAAUGCUGUGCACCUCUGCAAAUUAGGAAAACAAAAUACAAAAGCUGUUUGUUUUUUCAUUUGCCAAUAAUGAAAGUCGGUAAUUUGACUUUUCCCUGCACAAAUGCAAUUUGAAUCUUCCUUGAAAUGGGAAGCAAAAGAGAACUUGAUGUCCAAGCUGCUGCUUCCUCAGAGAAGUGACAUCUCAUCUUAUUUGGUUGCUUUAAGAAGUCUAUCACAGUAAUUACCAAUAGACCAUGCAGACAAAAAGCCCUUUGCCGAUUCCCCCUGGAAAAAGUGAUGGGGUGUCUUAAAACAUCCAUAUCAACUGCGGCGAUUAGCACAUAGAUUUUGCUUUCCCCACAUUAAUGUAGAGAUGUGCUGUAGGCUGUUUGGAAGAGACAAUUUAUUAAAAUUGCAUCUCCAUUCACUCUGAACUUCUGUUUAGUAUGUCAGUGCCUCUUUGCUGGAAGAGCAUAUUGCACUAUGUAUUUUAAUACAACCUGGAAUUCAGAAUGUGCAUGCCAUUUCAAAAACUUAAUAGAGGGCUUAGUUUACCUCACUGAUAUGUGAUUCACAAUUAUGUAUUAUAUUAGAGGUACUUAUCUGUUUAUAUGAGGUCUGUCCUGACUUGUCACACUGAUUUUUUAAAAAAAUUAUGCUUAUUUUCCCUUGAUUAGCUUGGAAUUAGAGUAGAUGCUGAGUUAUUACAUCUGCUAAUAACUUGUAUGAAUAUAUUCAUUUCAUAUUGCUGUGUGUUUGCGGUGUUGAUCUUUCUCAAUAAAAGAGAGAAUAAAUCACAGUUGAGAAUAAGCACAUUUAUUUCACCAGGCUGAUUAUUCCUGCAAAUCAUUGCCUUGCAUAUAGCUUGUAAGUGCCUAAGGAAGAAGGAGCUAAAGAGCAGACCAUGAAGUUGUAAGAGAAAUAAAGGGCCCUCCAUAAACCAUUAAUUAGAAGUGCACUUGAAUUAUAAAUAAAUAAAAUUAAAUAAAUAAAAACCUAGUCGAAAAGCAUAGGUUUUUUCUAUUACCUCAUAAAAUCAUAAUUACAUAGAUUUUUAUCCCAGUUUCAUAUACCAUUAUCUAUGUUGUUUCCUAACAUUUCCAUGUUUUACACUGUUGCUUAAUCAAUGCCUUCUUUGGCUUUCAGACAUCUUUAUUCCUUCUUACUAUUUUCCAAUUACUGUAUUGGUCACUGAGUAUAAAUGUUGUAGCGCCAUGCUAUUGGUGUUCUCAGUUAUGUUCAUUUGCCAAUGAUUUCAUCUAUUUUUCAGCUGAUGCAUACGAAUGGCAAGGACACGCCAAGUGAUUCAUGGUACAAGAAAAUAAUAAACAUAUUCUGUUGGCUGAACAUCAUUUUGAAACACUCCUUCAGUCUCUCUCAUCCUUGCACAUUGAUGUUCCUACCAUUUUCUUCCUCGACUUGUUCAUUCUUCUCCCAUUGCUCGUGAAGGUACUCCAUUACCAGUUGCCGGGAUAGGCUAGUCCCACGAGGGCAAUACAGUAGUACCUCGGUUUAUGAACUUAAUCCAUUCCAAAAGUUUGUUCUUAAACCGAAACCGUUCUUAAACUGAGGCAGGCUUUCCCUAAUGAGGCCUCCUGCCGCCGUUGCCCUUCCUCCAUUUGGCUUCCGUUCUUAGACUGAGGUAAAGUUCGCAAACCGGGACACACUCCGGUUUUGUGGAGUUUGUAAACCGAAUAGUUCAUAAACAGGGCUGUUCUUAAACCGAGGUACCACUGUACUCAAUACCAUGUCACCGUGAAGAAGGAAGUAUAUUUUAUUUUAAUGGAAUGUGACCCUUCUAUAUAACACACAAUCAUUUCCUUUAAGAAGGACUAAUACUUAGACAAACGUAUCAUGUGACUUCAAAGAUUGUGCAUGUGAAGAGUGAAAUCUUUCUUCAGUUAUUAAUCCAAAUUCUGUACUUAUGCUUAUCAUAACACUGUUAUACUGUUCAUAACAUUAAUCACUGUGGGACUGAUGAAUUGGGUGUAUUCCUAGAAUUGUAGAGUUGGAAAGUAAAGUAAAAGUAAAGGACCCCUGGACAGUUAAGUCCAGUCAAAGGUGACUAUGGGGGUGCGGCGCUCAUCUCGCUUUCCGGCCGAGGGAGCCGGCGUUUGUCCACAAACAGCUUUUUGGGUCAUAUGGCCAGCAUGACUAAACUGCUUCUGGCACAAUGGAACACAGUGACAGAAACCAGAGCACAUGGUAAGGCUAUUUACCUUCCCACCACAGUGGUACCCAUUUAACUACUUGCACUGGUGCGCUUUUGAACUGCUAGGUUGGCAGGAGCUGGGACAGAGCAAUGGGAGCUCACCCCAUCAUGGGGAUUUGAACCGCCGACCUUCUGAUUGGCAAGCCCAAGAGGCUCAGUGGUUUAGACCACUUCACAAUACAAUACAAUACAAUACAAUAACCAGAAAGAGGUGAUAAGUUAACAGAGAAGGAUGCAUGUUGUCUGGUCUUCCCUCCACAUACUCACAAAUUAACUGGAUGUAAAAUAGAUCUGUAGAACUUUGGGGAGAUGCCAAAUUGUACUGGUGUUCAUUUUCUGAUGGAAUAUGCUGUACAUGUUUGGGCAUGCACAGAGAAGGGAGUUUGUUUAUGGAAGCCAUAAUAAUGUGUUGAGGUUAGUGGAGUAUGACAAAUGAAACUGCUGUAAUCAUCAUAAUAAUGAAAUAAAUUUCUAAAUACUUGUGAGGGAAUGAUGGUCAGGAAGUCUGGUAGCAAAGAUACAAAUAAUAUUCUUUAAUUGGCAUUCUGGCUGUUUUUUAUCUGCUGUCCCUUUCUGUUAUCAAUGAUCAUGUAACACAGUCAAUUGCAAUUGCUCUCAUGCUUGAUUCUAUAGUUUUACUGUCCUCUUGUUGGAAAAGGGCACUACACGUUAAAUGUUAUUAAUUUCGUUCAUUCCACACAUUGUUUAUCAGGGAAAUUUUAUCCAACACACUGCUAAGAAGAAGCAAAGUAUGUUUUCAUCGUGGAAAACUCAAGGGUGCCUCUUUGUGGGGCUCAUCGGCUAAACUGAUGGAAAUAUGCAGUGUAUAUAGUCCCUGAAAGCCACAUCUGGUUCUGAAAGUUUACUGAUCCCUGCACCAGAUGCGGGUGGCACUGUGGUCUAAACCACAAAGCCACUUGGGCUUGCCAAUCAGAAAGUCGGUGGUUCGAAUCCCCGCGACGGAGUGAGCUCCUGUUGCUCAGUCCCAGCUCCUGCCAACCUAGCAGUUCUGAAGAAUGCCAGUGCGAGCAGAUAAAAAGGUACUGCUGCGGCGGGAAGAUAAACAGUCUUUCUGUGCACUCUGGUUUCCAUCACGGUGUUCCAUUGCACCAGAAGUGGCUUAGUCAUGCUGGCCACGUGAUCUGGAAAGCUGUCUGUGGACAAACACUGGCACCCUCGGCCUGAAAGAGAGAUGAGCACCACACCCCCACAGUCACCUUUGACUGGACUUAACCGUCCAGGGGUCCUUUACCUUUUUUACCUUACUGAUCCCUGCUUAUUGUAUCAAGUUAUUCACAAAUACCCCCCUUUUGUAAUACCAUGUUUAUUUAAAAAGAAAAGAAAAAAUACCCAAACCUACCAUAACAAACCUAUAAGCUGUUCCAAAAGGGCUUUUCCACUCAGAAAGCUUUUCUGAGCAGGAUAGAUUCAACUGCACCAUGCAACCUGCACUAGCUGUGUGGAAGGAUUGCCGGGCUCAUUGCUCCUUUUUCAUAUGUUGGAUUCCCCCUUCAUAUAUUUCUUUCUACUCAUUUAUUCUCUGUUAGUUCCUAUUCCUGCCUUUCAUAUAUAUCUGCACACCAUCUGCCCUGUGGAAAGGAAGAAGAGAGCAAAGGAGGCAGGCAAAGACAACAUCAGGACAUCUUCCAUCCAGUCUAUCCCCUUCCCUGCACAGCCAUCCAGGGCCAAUAGACAUAAUCUGCCCUUUGGCAAGGAAGGAAAGAGAGCAAGGCAGGCAGGCAAAGUCUCCUGUUGGGCUGUACCAUCUCUCCCUUCAUCCUGCCCCAGGCACAACUUUCAAUUCUAUAUCAUGUAUUUAUGUUAAAAUUGUAAAUUCACAUUGGCAAACAUUUUCUUUAUCGUAGUCUCCUUAAAAAAUCGCAUUCUGUCAAGUUGCUAUUAGCCCCAGAAUUAGAGCUAUGAAUUGGCACUCAUGUCUUCUCUUUUUGGUAGUUUUUGUUGAUAUCAAGCUUUGGUUUCCAUUGUGGUUGCUUUCUUAUCAGGAUUUUUUUGCAAGGGGAGACUUGUCUGCUAAUGUGUGCUUAAAAGGAUUAGCAAGUGGGUUGUAUGGUUAAGCAUCCGAGUCAAAAUUUCUCCAUGUGUCUGUCUUGAAAACAUAUGCAAGGCCCUGGCAUCUCCGUAUCUUUUUCCAGUGGUCACUGCCAGCGACAGUCAUGAAAUGGAAUCUGUCCAACUAUUGUGCCAUCUGUUAGUCAUUACUGUAGAGAAAAUUCUCCUGAUUGUGCUCCGGAGAACAGUAUUGAGAAGCAUUUGAAAUGCAGCCUGAAAGAUCGUCUGGCAAAGCUUCUGCAGGAAAACACACUGAAUAGGCAUGCAAACCAUUCAUAUUGUAUGAAUUCAGAAUUGCACAAGGAAUAUACUGCUUUAUGAAUAUACUGAAUGUAUCACUGCUUCAAAUUUAUUAUCAUGCCACAGCAGGCACCAUUGUGCAAAGCUGUUUAUUUUGCAGAACCAAGGGAGAGUUUGAGUCUUCUUCUUAAUAUAUUUUUCAAUGAUUCAUAGUGCAGUGAAGUAGCAAAGAGGAGUUUUAGAUUUUUUCCUAUCACAUUUUUUCCUCACUCUGGAACACACCCUCUCCUUAUGGGAUUAUUAGCAUUUCAGCUGUCCCAUAGUCAGGCUGAGUAAAUGCUAAAUUCUGCAUAUGUUAAAAUGUGUAAGUCUAAGUGAAACAUGUGCCCAGUUGUGAACCUACAUCAGCUUUUCUCAACAUAAGCUACAUAUAAAUGUGUUCAUUAGAAGUGGAUACUUUGAGAGGGGAUACUUUGCAAACAGAAAGAUAGAUCUGCAUUAUAGAACAUAACAACCCACGUAUCAGAAUACAGUGGUACCUCGGGUUAAGUACUUAAUUCGUUCCGGAGGUCCGUUCUUAACCUGAAACUGUACUUAACCUGAAGCACCACUUUAGCUAAUGGGGCCUCCUGCUGCUGCCGUGCCGCCGGAGCACGAUUUCUGUUCUCAUCCUGAAGCAAAGUUCUUAACCUGAGGUACUAUUUCUGGGUUAGUGGAGUCUGUAACCUGAAGCGUGUGUAACCUGAAGCGUAUGUACCCUGAGGUACCAUUGUACAGCUUCUGUGAGGGAAACGUAAGGCAGGAAUCAAUCCAAUAUCAAUCCUAUACCCUGUUUGUUAGCACUACAGUUCAUUCACAACAGCUUAGCCAUGACUUCAGAUGCCCUCUGUGAUAUAGAAAAGCUUAUAACAGGAACAUUGGCAGCCUGGGUGUAGAGGACUCCUGUGUGUGGUUCUUGACGAGCGUAGGCUUCAGAUGCUAACCUAAGGUAGGGGAUGGCUAAUUAUUUGCAGGAUUUGGGAAACAGAUUGGAAGUUCUGGAGCAAAGGAUCCAGCCAAAGCAGCCUGAUAGGAUCAUCUGAAAUCCCAUUGAAUCUAGAGUCUAUCUGCAGGACCAUCACUGUAUAGGCACUGUGUAACCAGAUGGCACUUUGUGGGUUGCAGACUGAGUUCUUCAUUCCUAACCAGGGUUUGGCCAGGUGAUGUGUGCAGCCAUGGACAGAUAUAUGGGCAUAGGAAGCAGGGGUAGAGGGGGCAGGCCACCCCAGGUGCCACUCUGGGAGGGGUGACAAGAUGGCCCCUGUCUCCCCCCAGCUGUAGAACGGCCGAGGACGCACACAGUCCGUAUGGGCUGCGCCGCCCCAAGUGCCGGAGAGGGUUCCUCCACCACUGGAGAGAGACACAUUGUAUGUCCCCUUUCCGGGCUAGAGUGACUAGUCUUAUAAUACUAAUUAGUAUGCAGGAGUCUCAGAAAUUGAUUUCUGGGAACCAAGGGGAGGAUUUGGGGAAAAUGAAUAAAUUGAUACAUUACCCCUACUAUUUAGACAAGCUGGGUCUAAUUUUAAGGGUCAAGACAGAAUUGAGUGUUGAAUAUGGAAAGUUGUGCCAAGAGUAGGACAUUAACAGAAUAACUGAUUGUGGGAUAUGAUAUAUAUUUCAGAUAUUUCAUUAAUUUAAGAGAGAGAGAUGUGUAGAAAUCCCAAACUACUUGAAUAAUAGAGUUCAUUUCUUGAAUAUGCUUGCCUCUGCCAGGAAAUGGAGAACAUCCUUGUACUUUUCCUAUGGGACUAGGAGGAGCUAGAAAACUGACUUGAAGUAAUGCCGGAGAGCUAUUAUGGGGCAGAAAGAUAACCACAGCUAUAAUGGUUGGGCAAGCAAGGGUAAAAAGUAAAGGUAAAGGUACCCCUGCCCGUAUGGGCCAGUCGUGUCCGUCUCUGGGGUUGCGCGCCCAUCUCGCUUAAGAGGCCAGGGGCCAGCACUGUCCGGAGACACUUCCGGGUCACGCGGCCAGCGUGACGAAGCUGCCCUGGCGAGCCUGCACCAGCGCAGCACACGGAAACGCCAUUUACCUUCCCGCUAUAAAGUGGUACCUAUUUAUCUACUUGCACUUAAGGGUGCUUUUGAACUGCUAGGUGGGCAGGAGCUGGGACCGAACGACGGGAGCUCACCCCGCCACGGGGAUUCGAACCGCCGACCAUGCGAUCGGCAAGUCCUAGGCGCUGAGGUUUUACCCACAGCGCCACCCGCGUCCCAGCAAGGGUAGUGAUAGGCAAAUAGCCAAAUCAAAUGUACAAGUCAUAUAGUACAUUGGGAAAGUUCCAUCUGCACAGUCAUGCAUAAUUUUGGGAGUGUGGUGGGGAUCUUUCUAGUGCAUUGUGUCUGAAGGGUGAGUAAGGUCAGAAAAGCAAUUGGAGCAGAGCAAUCAGAGACAGUAGGGGGGAAGAAGCAGAGUAGAUAACUUUCUGCAGGAACUGAUGUGGCCAAGCCCACAUAGUCCAGCAUUCUGUUCUCACAGGGCCAACCAGAUGCCUAUGGGAAGGCCAUAAUAAGGACAUGAUUACAACAUCACGGUCUCCACUUGUAAUUCUCAGCAACAGUAGCAGUAGAACAUAGCCACCAUGGCUAGUGGCCAUUGAUUGUCUUUAAAAAUAUGUGGGUCAAGAUUCAGUAGGAAGGAGUUAUGUUCGUAUGAUGUCCAAAAUAUUCAAAACCAAUGCAGAACAUAGACCAUGUGUUCCAGUAAGAAAUAAGUGAAAAGGCAGGGUUGAAUCAUACCUGGCUGUUUUCUUGAGUGUCUCGAUUUUGUGAUGUGGUAUAUACUGACGUCCACCAUAUGUGUUAUGCAAAGGGGUGUAUUUAUUUUUGGUGACAGCUUAGCCAUAGUAUGAGAUUUUUGUCCUCUGAAGUUAUUUUGGACAAAUGUAACAUAAAGUCUGGCUUUCUUAUUUUGCUGAACAUCCUGAUGUCUGGAUUUGCGUUUGGAGGUAUAUUUUAUUUUGACAAAGAAUUCCCAAUUGGACACAGGAGUGACUUUUGCUUUUGGAUGGUGCACUUGAAUACCACAUUCAAGCUCAUUACAAGAGAAGCUUAGCAUGUUGUGAAGGCAGGUUGGAGGCAUUCAAUAGCAGAAGAUGGCUGCCCUUGGGGAUUUUAUGUUCCCAGAGAUUUGCAUCAAUUUUACAGGAAUGGGAGUAUGAAAAUUGCCCAGGACAGUCAUUAUGAUUGACCUGGUGGACAGGGCUGAAUGGCCCAUGAGUGAAUAUAGUAAGUGAAGGUAUAGUACAACUGACUGGAUUGUAGAUGGGGACCUACCUCACACAUACCACUCCCUACAAGGUGAAAGGUUUAAUUAAUCAGUCCAGUGUCGCUUCAGGAUGUGGUGAGUGCAUUCCAGUUUCAACAAGAUUGUUGACACCAUCCUUCCUCACUGAUUCUGUGAUUCCAUGAUCCAAGUGGUGGCCUGUUUAAUUCAGUUUCAAACUGCUGUUGUCCACUUCUCUAUUCAUUUACCCAUGCAGAGGUAUAUUGCCCCAAGUCUUGUGAACUAGCAAGGGAUUCCUUUCUUUUCUUGUGUUGCUUGACACACUGCUUUUUUUUCUGGUGUUGCUGUAACACAGUGGAAGAUUGGUUGCCCUAGGAAGUACCUAGCUCUCUGCAAAUACUGCACCUUCUGUACACAGAAUUCUAAGCAGCCAUCUCAAUGUUUUAUUCCUAUCCAAUCAUGUUGCAUUUCCAGUCCCCAUUUAUCAAAUUAAACCGGAUCUUGCUGAGCACUACUCAUCAGUUUCAGACAAGGCCCAAAAGCAAUAUGAUUUAUAUUCCUGGCCAUCAGUUUGCAGCACUUGCUGCUCAGGCAUUAAGACAUUUAUUCUUGGCCACUAAGGUCAUAGCCUAAGGAGCCUGGACUGUAGAAACAGUUUUUCAUCUGUCUUCUUUUUUUAAAAAAGAAAUUUAUAACUUUUCAUAUGUUGAGGAAGUUAGAAAAUGGCAAAGGAAUUCAAGACAUCACCUGCAAUGGUAAGGAAGAGUAAGUAAGGGUAUCCAUACCCUCCAAGUGUCCCUAUUUUCUAGGGACAGCCCCGAAUUACGAAAACCAUCCUGGCUUCUGAUUUGAUCCCAGAAUGUCCUAUUUCCCCCACCAGCUGCCACCAUGCUCAGGGAGGAGGAUGAGCUGGCGCUUGUCCUGAGUGAUAACAGUGUUGGCUGUGAGGGAUCUACCAAUUGCCUCUCCAUGGCUGCCACUGCCAACCUCCUCCCUUGGGCAGCUCAUAGCAGCUGCUAGGCAGCGGGCAAGGAGGAGGAGAGGCCACCACCUCUGAGGCCCAGUUCCGCUUGAUGUGCCGGCUCUGAGAGGCAGGGCCACCCUAGGCGGGAAUAAAGGGGGAGUGGGGUGAAGCCCAAGGAAUCUUGAUUUUUUUGUGCAUCCACUUUUAAUCUUGCCCCUUUCUAAAAAUUAUUGGUGUUUUUUUUUCUUUUUGUAAAUCUACCAAAUAAUAAUAAUAAUAAUAAUUAAUAAUAAUAAUUAAUAAUAAUAAUUAAUAAUAAUAAUUAAUAAUAAUAAUUAAUAAUAAUAAUAAUAAUAAUAAUAAUAAUAAUAAUAAUAAUAUCAUCAGGGUUAAGGAGUUUUCUGAGUACAGUGGAGAGUGUCUGUGCUGUGUCCUAUUGGUGUAGUGGUGGUGGAAAUGGUCUGCCGGGAGAGGGGUACAUAAAAUGGGGAGUUGAGGAGGGUCAGUUGGGGAGGGGGAGUGAGAAAUGUCCCUAUUUUCAGCUGAGGAAUGUUGGGGGGUACAUACUGUAUGUGUGCCGGAAAUUUACCAGAUAGAUUUUUACAUUUUUCUGCUGCUUGUAGGCAUUGUGUUGUUGAGAUUCACGAGGUCAGUAAACACAGAGCCUGUUAUUUUCCUUUGUUUGUUUUGACUGCUGAAGAAGUCAGUGGUUUCAAGGUCUUCCAAGCUUCCUGCAGGCUUUGCUUUAAUUGUCUGCAGCAUAAAUGACCAGUCAACUUCUCAAAAUGCUGUAGCCAAAUAGAGGCUUGCAUAACAACAGCUAAUGACUUUUUUCACUAUCCUGUUUUGUUCUAUGGUGUGGGGUUUGCUUCCCACCCCCCACCCCACCCUGUUUGCACCCUCUCCAGUUAGCUUUAUAUCAAAAUGCACCAAAAAAGAGAUAGUGUUACGGUAAAUGAAUCCUAUUUUUCAGCAUGACUCACUUCUUGCGUAAAGCCCAAUCCUUUCCCCUGCUGUAACUUUGAUAGCAUAAACCUUCCUUGUGCCACAGCAGCUACACCAACUGGUGAAAAGAGGGAGCCAUUGAGGCAAAAGAAACAUCUAACAGUCUUGCUUGUCCUGGUGCUAGGUCUGUGAGAGCAUCCCUUGCAGAUGCCCCACCUGCCUAAAAACAAAAUAGAGCAACACAGCUGCCUCCAUUGCACAUGCAUUUUCCUCAAAUGUUGCUAGCUUCUGUCUCCCGGGCCCUGGGGAUGGGACCAAUUCCCAUUACUAAAGGAAGGAACCCUGAAAUAAUUCCACUAUCACAGCAGAUCAAAUGACAAGAGAGAUUAAUACAGUGGUGCCCCGCAAGACGAAUGCCUCGCAAGACGGAAAAACCGCUAGACGAAAGGGUUUUCCGUUUUGAAGUUGCUUCGCAGGACGAAUUCCCCUAUGGGCUUGCUUCGCAAGAUGAAAAUAUCUUGCGAGUCUUGAGAUUUUUUUUCCGCUUUCCCCCCCCUUUAUCUAAUCUGCUAAGCCUUUAAUAGCCUUUAAUAGCCUUUUAGCAGCUAAUCCCCUAAGCCUUUAAGCCUUUAAUAGCCGCUAAACCGCUAAUAGCGCUAAUAGCGCUAAUCCGUCAAUGGGCUUGCUUCGCAAGACGAAAAAACCGCUAGACGAAGACUCUCGUGGAACGGAUUAAUUUCGUCUUGCGAGGCACCACUGUACCUAGAUUUUUCUGUACAACCACAGCAGAUGCUGUACCUCUCCAACAGGUUGACUUUACACCCAAUGGUGUCCUCUUCCAUGGUCUCUUGAGACAGAUGGAUGCCAACACCUACAAUAUUGUAUAUUGUUUUAUACUAAAACAGUCUCAAGAUAAUAUGUAUAAUACAACAAAUCAUAAUAAAAAGUAUUGAACAAUCCACAGUAUCAAUAUAAUAACAAUCAGGGCCGAUCUGGCGUAGGUGUGUCAGGAAGGCCAUUUGGCAAAUUCAAAUUGGGGCGCAGAUUUAUACUUGUUAAUUUUUUAGCAUUUGGAAAGCUUCACAAUUUGUUUUUAUACACAUCGGACCAAAAUGUGACACAAUCUCUUAGCUAGAAAUGCAUGUGUUAAUAAAAAUUUUAAAAAUCUAAAUUAUGCCUCACUCUGCUUUUUGGUGCCUUCUUUUGUUUCUGGAUGCUGUCAUUUCAAUUUGUAUUAUGGCUAGGGGGCUCAAAAGCUGGAAUUGGCCCAGGCCUCCCUCAUACACUCCAACAUUCCUCAGAUAAAAAUUGUGACAUUUUAUGCUACAUCAGCAGAGGGUUGGGGAGGAAUUGUGUGUGGAAUUCGGAUUUCUCCAUGACAAAGUGAGAAGCCAUGACGGCUUAAGGCAGUUGAAGACGUUGCUCUCUGGAUCUCUGAAAGGGCAUGGUAACAAUUAAACAACACCCAAUAAAUCCCAGAUUGAGUAAUUGAACAUGAGCUUUGUGUUUGUUUUUAUUGUGGUCCAAUUGCCAUUUUAUGAGGCUGGGAAAUCAUACAAGUAUUGUGGGUUAUAUCUACUCUUUCCCUAAUAGCAGGCAGUCGAGUGGACUGUUAAUGCACAGCAGUAAAAGAUAUUUUCUUGAACUCAAUUGGUCAUUCUGAUAACAUCUAUUAAAUUCUGCUGUCUGCAGUAGUGCCAGAAAAUGAACAACAAAUUGAAUGAAGGAUAAGCCAACUUUUUAACUGCGCAUUUUAAACUGUGCCCAGCAUUGGUCUUCUGGUGCCAAUUGUGUCAGUCAAUGUGACUUGAAAUGCUUUAAUGUUGUGAUGUUUCAUGUACAUGUAAAUGUUUUGUAUGCAAAAAAUAGUAGCUGGGGGAGGAACAAGUGAAUGAUUCAUGGCCCUUCCAGCCCCCUCAUUAUUAUCAGAAAACUGGAUCUAUGAGGACCACACUGAAAAGCUCUUAGUUUUCAUUUGAUUUAGAACACAUUUUGAUUUAUUUUUUUAUCAAUCUAAUUCAAGUCUGAGGGGCUAAAAUUAUACAGCCAAAGCCUGCAUUAGAUCUUUUUCAAAGCUGUCCUUGUUUGGCAGUACAAUGCUUCAUUAAAUAUCAACCUUUGUGUCAACUUGUACUGUUUUUAUCACAGUAAAUGUUGCAAAGAGUCUGUCUUAGCUUCAAGAGACAGAAGUAGUAAUUUACUGCUACUUAAGACCAAAGGUCAUAGGGAAGGAAAAAAGCAUGACAGUUCAUGGCAUUAACACAAAUAAGAUAACCAAAUUGUCUUUUAUUUUUCAAAGAUGCAACUUAAGUUGCUAACCUUAGGCACAUAUGACCCUACUACUUUCUAUGUGUUAAAUUUUAAACACAUUCAGAUAAAGUUGUUUCCAACUAUGUGCUAUUGAAAGCAAUGGGAUUUGUUAGUCAACUAAUUUGUAAAAUUGGUUUCCAUAGGACUUAGCCACAGCUUACUUUAGCUACCUCAGGACAAACUAGAUCUUACACUGCAGCAAAAGUAGAAAUCAUAUUAGUGUUUACUAUAGCUACAUUCAGUAAGCAUAUUACUGUUUUCUGUUCCAUAAGAUGAGUAAAUAUAGUCCUGAACAACAGGAAAUGAAAGUAAUGUGACAAAACACUACACAAUUCUCUUUUCAUGGGCUCAGCAAUGCAAGUUACAGUAGAUCUUAUUAUAGAGAUCCUUUCUGCCAUAAGAGCUGUAUGGAACCAACACUUACAAAGACUUAAAUCUGUAAGGUUAUAGACAAAUGAAUGAGAUUGUUUUGCUACUCCAGGAAAGAGGGACAGUGCAAGAAAAAUAUAAGGGGGGGGAGGACAAAAUAAUCAAGAUGCACUUCUGAUGGAGUAAGUUUUCUCAUACCCAUUAGAUUAUUGAAAGAAAUAGAGAAAUCCAGGGCUUUAGUGUAGUUGUGACUGGACAGUAACAUACCCACCCAAAAACAGAAGGCAGCAGCAAGGAGAGGAAUUUAUAUUCUUCCUAAAUCAGGUUUAAUUUCAUGCCAAAAAAAUGUUAUUUUAUUCUAUGUAUGUAUAUGUUAAAUGCAAAUAAAAUGUAUGGACAUUGCUGUUCUACCCACAAUUACCUGGGAGUAAGGCCCGUUAAGACAUGCAGAGGAUUACUUUGCUAUUCACUAGUUAAGUUGCAGCCUGCUUGUAUGUGUGCAUGUAUGACAACUAUAUAUGACAAAUUAUUUCAACAGGAGACCAGAUGUGCAUGUGUGCAUUGAUAUAAAUAUUGUUUUUCAAACCAAUGCAUGUUGCUUAAGAAUCUCUACCUAAUUCACAGCAUACCAUUUUGAACAAGCCCAAAUAUCUGUAAAAUGCCAAAGUCAAAUAUAAAAAAAGACAAUUGAUAAGGUACUUAUUUUAAAAUGGUAUUAGUUUAUCGAGAUUAACAAAUAUACACAUUCCUUUGAGGACAUGCCUGCAGUUCAUGAAACACUGUAUGUCAAACUGUAGCUAAACAUUAAGAAUGAAGGGUGAGGAAGCUCAACAGAGGAAGGGGGAGAAAAUGAAUUUGUGUUUAGAAAGUGACAUUUUGAGCUGACACAUUAAGAUCUUUAUAUUACCCCAGUGCCAGUAGAAGCUCUAGAAGUGUAGAAAAGAUUUUCCACAUAAAAUUAAGCUGUCAAGACUCCCCCUCCUCCAUUUCUCUUUUUAGAGUCAUGGUUCCCUUGGACAACACUGAUUCUUUUCAUACAAGCAUAAUGUUAGCUGUACAUGCAUAUGUACAUUCCCAACAGAUUCAGACAGAUUUAAAGGCAGAGGGGAGAAACAGAAGGGAAAUCAAUUAAAAUGGGAAAUGGUAGAAAGGAUCAAAGACAGACUAAACACAAAGAGCAGCCAAACUUAAACUACCGUAAUUACAAUCCCUUGAUUUCUGUGGAGGAGUUAAAUAGAUGCUUAAGUUAUCUGAUCAUAAUCAAUGGGACUAGUUGAGAUCAUGCCCAGAAUGCUACAGAACCAGAACUGGUAAACUCUGGUUAUGCAAAGAAAUCACCAUAAACUGUCUUGCAGUGACGUGUUAUUCUAGAAAGGUAGUUCUUUCAGUGGCUUUAGCUACCCACACAGCAUGGGUUAAUGCCCAACAGGAAUGCAACCAACAGAAUAUUUUGGAGAAACAAAAAACUAUGACUGAAGUAGAAGUUACACUGGAAAGGGGUUGUCACCGAGCCCCUCACACUUUAUGUGGCAAUUCCAUUUUAGACACGCUUCCCUCUUUCACAUUUUAUGCAGCAAUUCUAUUACAGGUGUUCUGAGGAGGCAAAGCUUUUGAGUUGUUCAAACUGACAGAGUGGGCUGCUACAGAUUGCUGUAGCAGGAAACUGUGGUUUGCCAUUGUGCAAAUAAGCCUCAGAUUUGCACAUUCCCCCAUCUUCUCUCAUGCCAGAGGAAAAGAUAAGAAGCUUCUGCUUCCAUUUAAAACAACAAUAACAACAACAACAACUAAGAACAGUUUGCUGUUACUUUACAGUACAGAUGUUUAACCCAUGGUCCUGCAAAUGUAAGGGAUAGUGGGAAUUGUAGUCCAGCAACAUGUGGGAUGUCAGAGUUCACCAUCCCUGAUUCACAGUGUGGUUUCAGAACAAUCCAAAACCUGAAACUAUGAACUGAUCAUAGUUUGUUUCACUAAUCAUAGUUGUAAACAAACCGUAGUUCCCUGAAUUUGGAUAUCACUGGGAACUAUGAUUAAUUUCAACUCAAAAGUAGGGGCUUUUGCGUCCCUCCCUCCAAAAACAGAGGAGACCAGCAGGGAUGGUUGCAGACCUAAGGCUUGUUCAAGCUUGUUUAUAUAAGAGGAACCAUGGUUUCCCAUUAGCCAAUGGACUAGAAAAAUAGAAUACAAGAUAAGGCCUGGCAAUCUCCCAUAGUAGAUUAUUGUUUUGCUCACCAUUCAUUGCCUUGAGUGCUCCUCAGCUACCUUCACACGUAAUGUUUAUGCCACUAGUUGCACUAAUUAUAAGGCUAGUGCUUCUGUCCCAUUUUCACAACAAAACUAAAUAUAACAAUAAUGUUUUUGUCAUGGCUGCAUCAAUAUUAUACCUAUGUUUCCCUCAGUAAACAUGUUAGUGUGAAGGACUGGCACACGCAUCUUAAUAUGCAGCAAUAGACAUUGACUGAGAAGUUGUGGUCAGUCAGGGCUCCCUAGUGUUUAGGGAUACAGAUAAUCCUUUUACAGUUUCACAAGUUUCCUGCAGGAAAUGUCAAUGUAACACCAAUCUCUAGCUUCAGCAAACACAACUGCCUAUUGCUGUGCAAUGACUCACAGACAGUAAACAAGAGAGUUAUUGUUUCAACAUUUGUAGAAAUCAGCUUUAGAAGUUAACUGUUUUGAGAAACAGCUUAGAGGUUGUUGGAUUUUUGCUUUUUUACAAUCAAGCAGGAUAGAAAGAUAAAGAAAUUCAACUUCCAUUUUAUGCACAUUACAAACCAUCCCCUUCUAUGAGCUUUAGCAAAAAUUAUGAAAGAAGUCAAUUCCUCAAAGACUGAGAAGACAUCUUCAAACUUGCCACCACCAAAGAAAUAGCUUCAAUUCAAAGCUAUCCAUAUAGAAUUGUCAAACCUGCAUGGAUUUCUUACUAUUCUGCUUACUUGGACAUGGCAAGAAUCAGAAUUGCAAUUGAUAUUUUGAUACUUAAAGAAAUAACUCACUAUGCAAAGAUACAUAGUGCAUUUAUCAAGUACUUAUGACUCCUAUUCAAAAAUAGAACUGCCUUGGAAAAUCAGCCUACACAAGGACUUGCUCAUGUGUGCUUUUCAGAGCUUGUGUUGUUUGCUCCUCUGCAUUUCAAGGACAUAAUUGUAUUUUUACAGCAUGAACAUUUUGUUCUUUCCAUUUACCUCACUAUAGCAUGCCUUCUCCAUUUAUAUUAUAUUAGUAAUGUUGCUUUCCUCCUUCACAGAUAUGCUUUUAGAAGUUGUUCUAUUAUCUGAGCUCAGAGAAGUAGCACCAUCAGAUCAGAGGAAGAUCACCCAGUGCAGGAGACAAACCUCUGGAGGAAUGUGACACAAAAAAGCAGGACUGUCAGGAGCCAUACUGUGUCUUUGGAGCUACAAAGUCAAUUCCAUGCCCUCACCCCAGACACUGGCUAGAGGAGCAAGUACAGUGGUUGCAGACCUCAGAACACACUGAGGUGGCAUUGAAAUGUAGAGUGUACAGAACGAUUCCUGCCCCUGCCCAGAGAAGGAAGAGACGUGUGGUGGUAACAGAUGACCCCCUAUGGAGGGGGGCAGACGCAGCAGUGUGUGGAGGAAUGACUAAUAGUUUGUAAAAUUGUGUAAAAUUGCAUAAAACCCAAAACUUCAGAACUUGACAAGGCUUUUGACAUUGUCCAUUGCCAGCAUAAUUUUUUUGCUCUGCUCUGAAUUUGCCUACCCUGCAGAUGCUGGUUGCAAAAAAGCUCACAUUUACUGUACAUACCCUGAGGAGCUGAAGAUCCAUCUGAAGUAACUUGCUUUCAUUAGAGGUCAGAGAGAGAAGACUGGUUCUAUUGGACCACAUCUGAUUGGCUUGCCAGAUCUGCCUGAGCAUAACAGGUCAAACAGCAGAAGUGGUAAGAAGACGAGAG